rnacentral:lncRNA from 1 species
UAUAGUAAGGGAGCUACCAAUUGAUUUUUAUGGGGGGGCUAGGAUGAAAUUUGAAAAAAAUAGGCAGGACAGGAGUUUUGAGUAAAAAAAAAAAGGCAGGAUGAGACACAUUUUUUAUGUAAAAAAAGUCAGGAUAAACUAAAAAAAAAAAGCAGGACCGAAUAGAGUGAAAAAUAAAAAGGCAGGACAGAGAUUACAACUAAAAAAAAAUGCAGGACAAAAUUUUUCAUCCUAGCCCCCCCCCCCCAUAAAAAUGGUAGCUCCCUAAACUUAACUUUGAUUUAAGAAAUGAAUACAUGUAUUUGAAGAAAAAGUGAGAAAUCAAAAGGGUGAUGUCCCUUUGAUCAGGUAAGCUGGUUUACCACCAGCGUUUAUUAUCUGACAGAUAUGCAUGCAUGGUGACCAUACAAACAAUGAAAUCAACAAAAAAUCAUUAUAAACUCCAUAUGUCCAAAGCUCUUUUCCGGAUUUUCCUUCACCAAAAACGUUUAUAGUAAAAUAGUUGGAAGCAAAAUUAAGGAUCUAAAAGAACCAAUACAGGUUAAAAGCUGUAUGACCAAAAUGACCUACAAAUAAUAGCAUAAUCCCUAUAAGGUCAAGGAGGUUGAAAUCUUAGUCCUUUUUGUAAUUUGUCUGUCGAGAGUCUCUCUAAUAACAUUAAUUGUUACAAAAAGAUGUUACAGUAUGAUACGUUUAACUUAAGUCUUAGUAUUUAGUAACACAUUAGUAGCACGUGUCAGUAUAAGUUAUUAUAAUUAUCAUUUUAAGUACAGAAGUCCUUGUGUCAAUUUUUUACUAAAUAAAUCUCUUAUCUACUUUUCAAUCGAUCUCAAGUUAACAAUUUUACGUUGAACAUUCCAAUCUCUUAUUGUUUUUUGGGGUUAUUUUUUUUUUUUUCAUUUAGAAAUAAAUAAGGCAUACAAUUGUAAAUGGCACAUAACCAGUUCAUGCUGUAACCAUGCAAACGUUUUGUAAUAUCUGCAUCAAGGUGAGUCGUAAACCAGAACAGGUGUUCAUAGCACUUUGUAUCGUUUUGCAUAUAAAUCUUAUCUCUUAACUAAUCUGUCUCGAAUCCGUUCUUAAAUCGGUUUGCCAAUUUCUAUAUUAAUAAAAAUUGACCUCAUCAACCACAAAAAUGUUAACAUUACCUUAGAGAAAAGAAUUCACAUAAAAGUGAAGGACUAAAUUGCCGUAAAGCUCAAAAGAAACAAGUUACGUAAUCGGUUUCUGCGUAAGCACAUAUUUUUUCCGCCAUAAAUCAUUGAUGUUUACAACUUUUGUUAAAGAGCUCGUAUUGCAAUGUGAGUGUUAGGGCGAAAGGUUCGUUUUCAAGGACUCUCGAUAACGAUGUCAUUGACAUCCUGACGAACCACCCACGUGACAAGGCCAGUGACAUCAUAAUCAAUAGGUCGUGAUUAGGGCCUGAUCUACGCGAUGCGAAGUACUAAGAUUAUAAUAUAUGUAUAUGAUUAUUCCUGAUUUGUAGGCUGAGAAUUUGAAAUCACUACUCGUGCACUACAUAUCUUCUCAUAUGGCGGUGGACAUCUAUAGGAAUGGAGCUUUGGAAAAAGUAAAAGGGCGAUUGCAAAAAUUGUUGUGGCGGAUCCAGGGGGUCCCCUCCCCCGUGGUUAGAUCGCCCUCAAACAAUCUCCUGUUUCACCCUACCCCCAAACCACACACACGCCUAAACUUAUUUAUUUUCACUUCCCGCCUUAAAACAAAUUUUUGAGUCUAGGAAUUUGGAAUGAACUACAAAUUAUUUGGCCUUUAAAGUCUUCCACAAAAGACAAACGAUCGUUUUUUAAAUGUAAACAAACUUUUACAUUUUGUCCUAAAAAGGAAAUGAUUAAAUUUAAAGACCGAUAUGUUUGAAGGUGGAUUAAGUUGGCCGAAGGUACAAAAAUAAUCUUCAUCCCAUCACCCUCCCCAACCACUUUAUGGAGCUACACGUACAUGUACAUAUGAUCGCAUAUGGUUUAUGAAUAUAACUUGUUCCACUCUAAACAUGGCCUAGUACGGAGCACCCUUUUUUCAAAAAUCUAUAUCUGCAUCUGUUGUAUAACAAUUAAUUGACAUAUUAGGUUACAUAAUAAGAUCAGAGCUUUUAAUAAUACCUUUGAUUUAUGUUAUUAACACUUCGUAGAAUUUUCUUUUACAUGGGGCUCUGUGUGGGGUUUCCAGAAUACAAAAUGAUGGACCAAGACUACAAAUAUAAAGAAUAAAAACAAAUGGGCACCUAAAGUAAAAAAUGGAGAUUAAAGGGAGGCUUUAAAAUAUAAAAAAAACAUAGAUUACUGGAAACCAAUAUAGGAAAAUAGAAAAAUGACAAUUGUGAUUUUUAAGUCCCUCCUAAAUGAUAAACGCCUAACUCUCGUCAAUAUCAAAGGUAACAACUUUAUUGACUUAUGUGAACUGAUUUUUAUUGAACGUCUAUUUAAAAUUAUCGCAAGAGCAGUCAUACUUCUCGUCGCUAGUGUCAUUCUAAGAAAAGAAAUUUAAAUGGUUCCAGCUGGCCAGCAAAGAUGUCAACUUCUGCGUGAUUUGGUUUCUGGUUGAGAGUUUUCUCAUUUGCACUCAUACCAGUUCUUCUUACGUUUUGUACAUAUCGUCGUGUUGGUAUAUCUUACCAGCCAAGACAUGCCUUCAAGCUUCGGGCUAUGAAAAGACACAUUCUGUAUUGAUUUGAAAGUGAAAGCAUUUAAUGCUAAUAGAAAGAACAAAAAAUAAUAAAAAAGACAGAAGUACCGAAGAGGUUCGUUUUAUACAUGUUUCACUGUAAAAAAAAAAGUACACACCCUCCUCAACCCACAACCUCACCCCCGAUUAUCUAUUGUCAAUUGGUCGUCCCCAAAACUAUAAUGUUAAAAUUGGGUUAAUACCCUUAAAAAUGCAGAAAACCAGAAAACAGUAUUAUAUAUGAAAUCUCUAAUAACACAAUCACUGCAUGAGUUUCCAACAAACAUUUUAACCUUGUCCUCAAAAUGUACACCCGAACAAAAGAAACCUUGAAUCUAAAUUUAAAACUGUUAGUGACUCACACAUUACUCAGUGAUAAGUUAAAAACUUUGUUUUGUCAAUAUAUGUCGAAUUUAAAUACCUUACAGGUAAAAUGAUAAGCGAGAUACAAAAAGAAUUUUAUAAAUUCGACCUUGGCCUUGUCAAAAAAGUUAAUAACGGGGUCAUUUACUAUUAUAACAAUGUAACUUUAGACGUGGUCAUUCGGAACAUUGUACAAAUGUAUGCAAUCUGUCUUUCGGAAUUCUGGGUGUUUUAGAUAUUUGAAUAAAGGACGAUAAUUAUGAGGUUUAGGUCAGUGAGACGCUUGUUAGCUUAUCUGCACCGGGUACAUGUUAACAUUACCAAUGCAAAUUGACGAUAUUUUUAGAUCUUUUAGCGUUCAACACACAAGAUUUGAAUAUUUAACAUGUAAAUUUAUGAUAAAUACUCAAAGGAAUUAAGCUUUUAUGGUUAUUUGAGGAAAUUGAUUAACUAAAUUUAGAAAAUAUUUUUUUUAAAUUUGGCAGUUUUUGGAAAACAGAGUUAUAACAGCAAAUACGUAAUUUAAAAUGUUUUAAUAAGGAGAUGUGGUAUUAUUGCCAAUAAGACAGCUAUUCACCUGAGACCAACACAUGUAGAUCUAUAUAUAUAUAUAAGUCGCCAUACGGCCUAUAUACAUGUAUAACAAUUAGCAAAACCAAUACCGUACUGUCAGCUGUAAAAGGUCAGGGCAUGACAUAGUUUAUUUAUUUCUGUAUUUUAAGUGUGGGUUUUACAAGAUUGAUACGAAAAGUGACCGUUUUUUAAUUCCAUAUGAGUUUUCAAAAAUAAACUUAGAAUAAAUAGAUUUAAUAUCAAAUAUUUCAAUUCUUUUGCUUCUUUUGCAGUGUAUUUUAGUUUAUCUAUCUGGUAAACCAAGGAUUUAUGAAGGGAUUUUUACUAUACAUAUAUCCAUAGGGUUGAGAACUAUGACAAUUAAUUUUAGAAUAUUUACGUUACACACCCUAUUACCUGCCAUGAGUGUUUUACAGAAUAUAGCAUGUCGUCGGUAUAUUAUUUCUUAUUAUUUGUUAUUGUCUUUGAGCAAGCUUAUUUUUCAUAGUUUGUUCAUAUCUUAUGCUGUAUCAUCACUGUCCCAGGUUACGGGGGUGAGGAGUAGUGGGUAUUGAGACUGCUAUCCUCACUACUGUGAGGACGGGUGGCAUUGGGAGCGCUCAAAUACUAGAACACGUUUAGUUCAGUGGUUUGUAAAUUAUUUUGUCACGAAUUCGGCUUUGUAUAGGUUUUCAAUUGAAUCGUUUCACAACUUUAUGUAGGGGUCUUAUAUAGCCAAGUUGAACUCUACGGUAUGGUGUUUUUCUCACUGUUGAACAGUUGCCUUCAUUUUUUCCACUUCACAUUUGAACUUUCAAAUUGUUAAAUAUUCUCUUAAUGGAAAUCAUUCUUAUCCUUAUUUUAUUUUAUUUGUUUUCAUUCUUCCUAACUGUGCAUGAAAUAUGUUUCAGUCUUAAACUUCAACAAAAUAAAAGACAAAAGUACAAUUUAAUUCUUUAAAAUUAAACAUUUUAAAUGGUAUAUGUCUGGUCAAAUCCUCCAAUACUAACCCACGCACUCAACACCAAACCGAAUCACAUCAAUAGAAAAAAUACGCUAGAAAAAAAACUAUUACAAAAUCAUUGUGAACAAAAUGAAUAGGCAAAAUCAUUCUACUAUCUGAACAUAAAUCCACUUCAUUCUUCUUAUACACUAAAGUGUAUAUGCUGUAAAGUAUCUUAUCUAAGUAUAAACUAUUUUAAACUCUCAUACUAUUAUAUAUCUUUACUCUGACAAGAAUCUUUUUUUAAAAUACGACCCGAAUAUGACAUGGCAGUUGAUAAAAUUCUUAUGUUUGAAAUAUGAUAACCAUUCCAGGUAACUAAAGCUGAAUUUGGUAAACAAACCAUCAAUUUACAUGUACAUGAUUGUAUGUCCCUGGGUCUAACCGGUUAUUCACCUAUAGAUAUACGAUUAUAAAUACAUGUGCACGGGUUGGCUAAGGGGUCAGCAAGGAACAGUAAGGCCUUUAUCAAAUGAUAAUUCAUAUUGUUUUCAAAUAUCUUAAAUAGAUAUAAGAAGAUAUGGUAUGAGUGCCAAUGAGAAAACUCUCUAUCGAAGACACAAUUUGUAAAAGAAAACCCAUCAUAGGUCAAAAUACGGUCUUCAACACGGAGCGCUGACUCACACCUAACAGCAAGCUAUGAGGGAUCCCACAAUGACUAGUGUUUCUGCGUAAAAAGAUGGGGAAAAUAUAACGAGCGAAUGUUAACUUUCUUUACAUUUAAACAAAUUGUUGGGAAAAUUGUUUUAAUGUUUGUAGUCGGUUUCUCUUGUCAAGUGUAAUAUGUUGAUGUUGUUUAGUCAUGGCACUGUAACCUGUUGUUUCUAUAAAAAAAAUAUUAAUAUUUUAAUCCUCCCAAAAAUGUCUCAGCUUACUUGAUUGUGGUUACUCUUUUGGUUCCCCUCGAGUCUUAAAUUGAUAGUGUUUUUGCGAAAACGGGAAAAAAAAUAUUUUAAAUAUAGUUUAGAGGAUAGGUAAUAAUAUUUGUCACUAGUUUUCCCUCUGAUGGAAUCUAAUUUUAUGUGCUUUAUAAACAACAUAAAAUAACAUAUAAAGUAUUGCAGACAGAUAAAGGAAACAACAUUGUGACUGCCAAUCCAAUUAAGAAUUUGUUUUAAUGUUUGGUUGUAUUGGACAUCUGUAAUAAUAGACUGGGAAAUUUAAAACUUUACUUGCAAAUGAAUUGCAUAGAAAACGUUGUUGGAGACGUACAUAUUCAUGUAUGUUUUCCACCAAACAAAUUCAAUAAGUUAUGUUUGUUGUUGGGAACUUUCAUCUCCUGUCCUUCAUAUCAAAGCUCUGUGCCUGUUUGAAAGAUAUUACGAGUUUUUAGUUUCUAUACUCAAAAUGCAAAAAAAAUAUAUUCUUAUAAUCAAAGCACAGGUAGGGUCUUUCAGAUAUAAAUAAUUUCAUCGUGUUUAAAGAUGUACUUCGAUUCAUAUUUUACAAUAUUUAUUUUAUGUAAAAUUUCCAUUAUUUAUUCAAACUGUCUUCAACAUUGCUGAUGACAAUAAUUGAAGUCCUUUAGAAAACCUUUUUAUAAACCUUCCUUUCAGAAUCUAAUAUUCAAACCCCUGGUUUGUUGUGGCGUUUGUGUUGCUCAGUCUUUAUAGUUAUUUCUAUUGUGUAUCGAUGUUUGUCUUUCUUUUUGUUUAACCUUGACCUUGUCAGUUUAUUUCAAUCUAAUGAGUUUGAAUGUCCCUUUUGUUACCUUAAGUUUCGCCUCUCUUUUCAAUUGAAAUGGUUUUUAAACAACUGUCUGAUUUUGACCUUGAGAGAGAAACAAAUACAAAAUAAAGGUCAUAUGUCUUUGGUAGAGUGAACUUUAUGUACUUAAUCUCAUAUUGCUCCCGACACACGGCACCAAAAUGGAAAUAAAUGAAACGCAACAAAAUAAAUAGACGAGAAAAAUAAUUAGAACAUUAAGCCGAAAAAAUAUCACUUUGACUGUUAUUGACGUAAAAAAAAUACAAUGUAUACUCGAAGCAAGCAAAUAACGACGUAAUUAAAACUCUCGCAAGAUCAGAAAGGAAAUUACAUUUUAGAGGAAGUGAUCAGCUUUUCAUUUAAUUGUUUGGAUUGAUUUCUAGUUUUCUGACCUAUGACCAAAUUCUUAUCUAUUGCAAAUCAUUGAUCCUGUAUCUUUCAUAAUUGCCAAUAUUUUAUACAAGUCAUUAAAUUUUAUUCUAAAAGAAGCAAUUAUUUCUAUCAGUAAUAGAGAGACGCACCUGUUUAUUCAGCCAAGUUUUCUAGCAUUGUGAAUACUCGCGAGAGAUAAUUGACACUUGAAAUCGAUUUUUCAAAUUGACAUUUCUAUCAGUUUACAGUACUUGACCGUUCCGUUGCCUAGUACAUGAAACACCUUGCAUUGAACAUUUAUUAUAACGUUUGUUAAAGUAACUUUCGUUGUAUAAGACAAACAAUGGAAACUUUCACAAAGUAGCUUUUGUUGUAUUAUAACUCUAAAGUAGUCAUUUACGAAACUAAAUAUUUAAAUGUUCGUUGUUUUCAUAUACGAAACUAAUGUUCUUACAAAUGUUGACAGAUUCGAAAUUGGCAAAAUGUUUAAUCAGACAAGGCUGAAUAACAAUUGGCAGAAUAUUUGAUCAGACAAAGCUAGGAUUUUACAUCAGUUCAGAACACCUUUUUAAGUACCAAUACUUUUGGGAUCUGUUGGGUUGAAUUCUCAUAUGCAUUAUAACAAUAUUUCCUUUUUUAUGUAAGCGGGAAAUUGUGUUCAUUUUCACGUUUGUGCUUUGAAGUGAGUUUAUUCCAUCUGUUUCAAUAGCUAUUGUAAUGUCUUACAGCCUUUUACAAUUGACAACCAUAUAACAGCUAGUAAAGUACCUCGGAGAUUUCAACUUCAAUUUUUAUGAAUAUAACUGCUUGCUUAAAUUACAAUCAAAAUUGUAUAUAAUAUAUAUAUACAGAGAAAAUUAUGUGUUUUACAAUAAAAGAAAAUUAAAGCAAUGUAACUUUUUUCAUAUUUUCACUCAAAUCCGAAAAUAUUUCAAAAAUCAAUUUGAAAGUCUGUUUUAGCAGUGUUAGUUGUAAUUGAUAUAUUAUUUAUCAUUAAAACCCAAAGUGCUAAUAAGGUACUGAUUACACCAAUGAUACAGGGGACAUGGUUAAUUAAUGACCCAAGACACACAUUUCCAUAGACACUAAAACGAGAAAGCACAUAUUAAAACGAACGUUCAGUGUCGUUUUCCCCGUAUAUGGUGACAUUAGAUUGUUAUCGCGAGAGAGUAAUUGAUGGGUUUUCCUUGUUAUUCUUGAACUGAGCAUCGCAAAAGUCUUUAAAGAGAAUUUACACGACCUUUCUAUGCCAUUGAAACCUGUUUAAACCGAACCUCUUCGUGACUUAGAUUUUGCUCGGUUUUGUCAGGUUCACAAAACAUACAAUUUGAUAUGAUGGUUCUUAAAACAUGUUUGGUUUAUACAGGUUUUCGGUGUAUGCAGGAUUCGGUUUAGCCAGAUUUCACUGUAUGUGAUGUUGUUUUGUUAUGCCUGUUCUCUUCGUUUAUAGAGCAUACCAAGUUAUAAGCAGUUAUAAUUAUUCCCGACAAAUUUUAUAGAGACGCUAUACCAGGCAGCCAACAUCGGACUAGGAUGGAAUUUGAAAAAAGGCAGGACAAUAGUUUGAAUAAAAAAGGCAGGAUGAGACACUUUGCAAAAUAAAGGCAGGAUGACAAUUUAUGUUAAAAAAAGGGAAGACAAAAUAGAUUGAAAAAUAUAAUUUAAAACAGGAUAGAAAUUACCACUAGUCAGGACAAAAGUUUCCAUCAUCCCCCCCCUUUUUUUUCCAUAAAAGUAUAAAAGUAGCUCCCUUUUUUAAAUUUAAACUCCUCGUACGAAUUUGAAAACCCAUUUCUCAUCAUCAAAAUUUGGUUCAUGUUUUUGUCAUCAUUAUUCUCUAAAUUAAUUUAAACAUUUUACAAUUACACGAUAUUUCCUCACUAUUUUGCUUUUGUCAUAAUUCGAAAAUGCUUUUGCUUUGUUACUGGAUGUUUUUUAUCGGUUAAUAAAAGAAUUUUUCCGAAUUGUUGUAUUUUAUCGCAAACUCAAGUUCAUAUUCAUAUAUCGUUACAUUUGUUGACCAGUACAACAUGUAGUAUAAAAUGAGUGAUGAUGAGUUACGAAUUUAAAAAUCACAAUUGCCAUUAGCGACUACAGAACACCAAAUAGGGAGCACAUUUGAUUUAUGGGGGGCGGAUGAAAUUGAAAAAAGGCAAACAAGGUUUUGAGUAAAAAGCAGGAUGAGAACUUGCAAAAAAAAAGUAGGACGACAAUUUUAAAAAGUCAGUAACUAAAAAAAAAAACAGGACCGAACAGAGUGAAAAAUAAAAGGCAGGACAGAUACAAAAAAAUGCACAAAAUUUUUCUAGCAUAAAAUCAAAUGUAGCUCCUAACGUACAAAAAGGUAUUGGUAUAUACUUGUGUACGAAAACAACCAAAGCAUGCAGCUCCUGUAAUUCGGUGGUUGUCGUUUGUUUAUGUGUUACAUAUUUGUUUUUCGUUAAUUUUUUUAUAUAAAUAAAGCUGUUAUUUUUUUUCGUUUGAAUUGUUUUACAUUGUCAUUUCGGGGCCUUUUAUACUGACUAUGCAGUAUUGGUUUUGCUCAUUGUUGAAGGCCGUUCGUUGACCUAUACAUAGUUGUUAAUUUCUGAGUCAUUUUGGUCUCUUGUGGAGAGUUGUCGCAUUGGCAAUCAUACCACAUCUUCUUUUUAUAUCCUCAACAUUCUUCAACGCAACAGCUUCGGGAUGUUCCAUAUAUUUCCUAUGAUCUCUACAUCCUUUCGCAACUGGGUAAUUCGGUUCGUAAUUGAUUUUGCAAAUGAAAAUAACUGCCUUUCUUUCGACAAAAAUAAUACCCGUCUGACCAGUUCUAUUCGACACUUUACAUACAUAAAUAGCGUCAUUAUUUAAGUAAAAUCUCAAAAAAUUCAUUCAGGCUUUUCAUGAGUUUAAAACAUAGAUUUCAAAAACUAAAUUCGAUAUAAUAAUAAGGUGUGGUAUGAUUGAACACGCCACAAGAGACCAAAUGACUUUAACAACGAAGAAACACUGUAUACGGCAUUCAACAAUGAGCAAAACACAUACAGUAUUAUUAUAAUAAACCGAGAUGGCAAGUCUUAAAAACAAUCAUAGAAAACUAACGACAUGCUUUUUGAUUUUUAAAGUACUCUUUUAAGUAGCAUCUUAAAUUGUGUGUUUUUUUUAAUAUUUUCAUUACAUCUAGCUUUUUCAUAGUAAGUUUAAUGCUAAUAAUUCGGUUGUCCAUGGUAUACCUUUGCUACGAUGACUACAUACCUCGUUGUAAUUAGAAAGUCGAUAACCGGGAGGAACUGGAUUAUUCGUGUUAUGUUUAAGGUGUUGUAUUUAAGAAUUGAAUGCUUCUUUUUGUAAAUUUAUUGGGGUGUAAAAGCGUUGACCGAAGUACAUUUUGUAUGAAGCGCGGAAGCGCUUCAUUCUAAAAAUGUGCGCACGGUCAACGCUUUUACAACCCUAUAAAGUUACAAAAAGAAGCAUUCAAUACUUAUAAUUACAUUUUUUAGCUAUGAUCAUGAAAACACGAAUUUUAUAUAUUUUUUAUUUAAUUCACUGUGCACUUUAUUGUACGUUUAUCAAUGGAAUGUAUUGAGCAAUGCAACUUUACGAAUAACACGUGAUGUGCAGUUAGCCAAUCAGAAUAAAGUAUUAUAAUGAAACAUACAUCUAAUGUAAUUAUUAAGCUUUAAAUUAUUUUUCAACUUGAUAAAAAAAUUGAAAACAACACGUUAAAUAAUGUCUUGCGUCCGAAGCGCUGUUCUGGAUUUACCUUUAUCAGGAACGCUCAAAGCCAAACAUUUGAAAUCCGAAGAUGUAUAAGAAUCGAAACUGUCAUAGAGCUUUAUGUCGAAAAUACCUAAAAUAAUUAGCCAAAUUCAUCUAAAGCCAACUUUGUCUGAGGGAGUUGAAACCUUAGUUUUAUAAAAUGCAAAGAAUUGAAUUGACACGAUGAGUAGAAUAAGCUUGUAUCUGCAUGACAGUAAGUCGUACUUCUCAUUACUUAAUGAGACUUAAGCUGUUUACAUUGCUUUGUUUGUUUUCUAUGUUCAAAAUAAUCGUGCCAUGUAAAUCCCCCUUAAGACAUUGCAAAAAUUUUGUAUAUUUCAUGACUCAAAGUCGUCUAAAUGUAGUCACUUUAAUGCAUAUACAUUUUUGGUUUAAUAUUUUACCGUUUGAUAAUUAUUAAAAUGUUUACAAAUAAUAAAAAAAUUAUCUGGUGAUGUUGAUUAAUUCCCAAAUUUCAUCUAAAUCUUAAUCUGUUUUUCAACAUAACCUUUGCUUCAUAAGUCACGUGAUAGUUGUCAAUUACAUUGUAUCGUAUGAUCCAUACAGCGCGCGCUCUCCGUCUUAAUGGAUAAUCAAUGAAAAGAUCCGAACUAAAUGACAUUGAAUGACUAGAAGAUUAACUUCUAGACGAAAUGUUUGGAUUGCCGCUGUCAUUUUGACAGAGUUGAUUAAACCUUAUACCAAAAAAUCCUACAGCGUGAUGAUGCACCUAUCGGUUUUUAAUUUAAAGCUUGAACAUUAUUGAAAAUCCAUUCGGAGUAGCUCGUGCCAAACAAAUACAGUUGGAAAGGGCAUUCGGAAUAGCUCGUGCCGAACAGUUAUAGAUUUGCAUUGAUUAAUGUUCUUUCAAGAUGUAUGCUUAUUUGACCGUACAUAUAUCAUUAAAAACUAAUUCACUUUUUUUCAGAUCAGUGGUUAAUAUAUCUUAGUUUUUUAAGUAAAAUUCAACAAGUUGAAGAUGGUCUCAUCAUGGUGAAUCAAAUCGUAAGCAUGAUGAGUUGCAUCUAUACUGGACGUUCAGCAAGCAUCAUUUAAUAAUUCUUGGACUUUUAAUAUUGUUUUCUUCAUUAAACCGAGUUCCGUUGACCAAUUAAUGUAGCUAACUAACUUAAGACAUCACGUGACUUUGGUGACGUUGCAAGACGCGAUUUAGUGUCAUUUUUUCUUAAAAAAAAGUCUAUAACACCCCAUUUUCUAAUCUGUUUUGUGAUAUAUUAGACUUUCAUUUUCUUUCUGUUGUUUUCUGCAUCAAAUUAGUUUCGUAUUUUUCAUCUAUUUUGCCUUACAGCUGGCCAUCGUCAUUUUGUAAAAUAAAUGUCCUUGAACUGGCCAGAUGGUUUCAAAUACAAAAUGAAUUUUCCCAGCAGGCUAUAUUAACAGAUGGGUGGCAAUUUUGGUUUAUUGGUUCAUUUGUGAAAUAUAUAAUACAUAAACAAAAUAAUGAUCCCAUAAUUUGUUUAUGAGCAUACUAAAAAAAAUAUCAUAAAUAAAAAAAAUCAUCGGUAAAAUAGUUUUGAAUUAUUUAUUUACAACAAGCAGUUUAAUUUAAUAGUGGCGAUCAGUUGAUUUUUUCCCCUUAUGUUGCAUUGGUAAAUACCCUUCUAUUUUACGAUAUUGAUGAAAGGGAAAUGCUAACUCAACCGUAGCAACUGAGGUCUUUUCUCCAUUUGUUGCUUUUUUGAGUCUUACUUGUUUAGUUUAAACUAUUUUAUUUAUGGAUUGGGAACAUUUUGCAACUUAUAUUAAGCCCUUUACUUUGCGGUGCGAGGCUCCUUGCGACGGCAAUAGACUGCUCUUAGAAUUUACAAGGGUGCUUUACGUGCAAGAUAUAUGGCUUUCUCUUAACACGGGUCAGCCAUUUAUCGUCCCCUUCCGACGGACUAUCAUCGUUGAUAUCAUCUUACUUGUUUGGUCAUUGCACUGCUAAUUAUGGGUUCUUGAUGUUGCGCAGGGUAGGGCGAGGCGAAGGAGUUGCUCAUAUUAUAUACCUUUCAAUGUCAAUUGUCUCUUUUCUCUUUGAACUCAUUUUCUUUUUCUUCCAUUUCUUACAAAUACUUAAGUUUCAUUUGUAGUCCAUACGAUUCCCUUCCCGCAGGUUGUUAUCUAGAUGUGUUUAUUAUUUAAUUAAAGAUUGAAUUAAUCGUAUAAAAAAAUCAGUAAACACUCAACCACUGUUGCCGCUUGUGUCCUUGAACAGAUUGUAUAUAAAAUCAAAUUUCAUUGAUAAAUCAGUGAACAUAUUGCAGUGUUUGUAAAUAGCAAUUUUUUAUAUGUUCAUUAACAAAUAAAUAAUAUUUGUAUAUCGAAAAUUUACAAAGAAAUCAAUAGCAAUCAUUUUAAUAGAAAUAGUUAUUAAUUUAAAUCACUUAUAGGGGAAAAAUGGAUUUCAACCUAGAAGGAUAAAUGGGGUAACGUCAAUGAUGCAGCAAUUCUACAACCACUGGCGAUCUAGAAAUUUUCAUAAGUGGGGGCCACUACUGCCUAAGGGCCCUCAUCACGCUUCGUGAUUCCCUAUAAGCACCAAAUUUUUUCUCAAAGAGGGCCCGGCCCCUGCCCCCCUAAAUCCGCCUCUGACAACAAAAUGAAAUAGAGGCUAGUAGUAUACAGAGCAAUAUCUUUGGUAUCGAUUAGUCAACAAAUCUAUCACAAUUGCCAUGCUUCUUUUUGUGAUAAACUUGCAAAUUGAUACUAAGAGAAAAAAAGAGCGACUUUUAAUCCUGGUACCUUUGAUAACUAUGUACUAGAUUUCUAGUAUCUUAAUCCAGAACAAAUAUCAGGGGUCGAUAUAUAUCACACUUUCUUCGAAUCGUGUUUUUAAACUUUCACCAGAAACGAUAAAAUUGAGAAUGGAAAUGAGGAAUGUGCCAAAGAGACAACAACCCGACCAUAGAUCAGACAACAGCAGAAGGUGACCAACAGGUCUUCCAUGCAACGAGAAAUUCUCGCACCCGGAGGUGUCCUUCAGCUGGCCCCUAAACAAAUAUAUAACGGACUACUAAUUCAGCUAGCAAUUCUGAAUAUUAAAAUAGCAGCACUAUUCCGGAUAGUCAGUUUUCACUGUUAAUCAGUAAAACAAUAGGAUAAGGAAACAAAAAUUACAAAAAUUGUAUAUAUUAUAUAUAAAAGAACUUAAAACAACCUAAUAUAGGCAUGUGCCGGAAAGUAAUCAUUAAAAACUUGAUGGUAAUCCGUAACUAAAGAGGAAGAAGAGGUGUCGAAAUGCAUUAUGGGACCGGGGGAAUCGUACGGUAUCCUGUACUGUUGCCGACAUCCACGUCAUUUGACCUCUGCUGGAUAGUUGUUUCAUUGACAAUUAUACCACAUGUUCUUAUUCUUAUAUUGGACCAUUGUCCCAGACGUUUCAUAUAUCGUCCUUGGACAGAUAGUAUUUCAAAACAAACGUUGUGUUUUAAUCUAGCACGCGAUGUCAAAACACAGAUUGCAACAAAGGUUUAUAUUUUUUUUCAAUAACUUGAUCAUUAACAUGUUUUUCUCAUUUGAUAUGUAUUUAAGUGAAUAACAGGCCUUGAAUCUGAAUCUUGAAAUAUGAAACGCUUAUAAGGUAAAAGUCAAUCAAAGUUUAAUAGGGCUUGUCCAUUGAUCUCCUUGUUUACCUUUUUGGAUGAGGAUUUCCCGUUAUUCUUCCGAAGGUCGAUAAUUCGAAUUCUUCUGAAUACUCCGUCUUACGUCAUACACCUAAAAUAAACUGACAGUCAUAUGUAGCUAAGAGUGCUGAAAUCGAUGUUUAUUGACGAGUAUUGCCAGUUUUCCUGAAGAGGAUCUAUGGUGCACGUUGUGUUCUCCGUCCAUUUAUUUCAUCCUGUUGUUCACUAGCGUUAAUUUGGGUAUUGCAAAGCCAGAAUUACUUCAUUGGAAAAGCCAAAAACAGUCGGUUAAAGAUUAUGAACUUGCUAAUAUCAAGUUAAAUGUACAGAUGUUACCUAACGAAUUAAACUUAUCAGCAGAUUGUUACUUAUAUCAGCAGCACAACGGGUGCCACAUGUGGAACAGGAUCUGCAUGUCCUCCUUCCGGAUCACUGGAGAUCACUCCUGGUUUUUUGGGUGCAUGAGGCCCGUGUUAUUCAGUCUUUAGUUCUUUUAUGUUGUAUUUUGUAGACAGUGUGUAUUUUGGUUUAUUCAUUCUCUUGCCAUAACGUUGUCGGUUAGUUUUUGAUGUUCAAGUUUGAAAUUUUCUUUGGGAUCUUUUGCGCCUUUUUUUAAGCCUGUCUGUAUACAUUUCCGGUGCACUCCUACAAGUAAGACCGUUUUAUCACUCAAAUUCACCUUAAUAGCUAGGCAGGAAAGACAUACCAUUCCGGAGCACCUGCGCUUGUUUAAUGGGAAAUGCUUACCAUUCUGGAGCACCUGCGCUUGUUUAAUAAGAAAUGCUUGUACCAUUCCGAAGCGACAAAGCUUACGUCAUUUAUUGUGGGGUUUGUGUUGCUCAGUCUGGUGUUCUGUGUUUUGACAAGUGUUAUUUUUCUUUUUGCGUAUUUGACAUUAAGUGUUAAACUUUCCUCCACUUUAUAGGAAUUAUCGAGCAAGAUGAUGAAUUUUAAAGUGUACAGAAUGGAGAUUUACAUGAACACUUUAAUUUGCAUUUUUUUGGCGACAAAUUAUACUUUAAAUUGCGACACAAGAGUCGUACCUUCGUAUAAGUCCAAAGUACGAUUCUUUAUUUCUAAGGAAAUACUGCAGUAUUCGCGUGUUCUCCUCUCUUUAAAAUAUAAUGAAUGUGUUAAUUUUUUUAGACAUGAAAAAGAAAACUACUAAAUAUCGAUCUCGAAAAUUCACAAAAAAGAGAAAUAUAGGGAAACAUCAACAACAUCCAAGUAAUGAGUCUGCGUUAUAUGGAAAAAAAAUAUCUUAUACAGUGAAACCUGUUUAAACCUAACCUUUUCGGGCCUUAAGAUUUUGUUCGGUAUUGGCCGAUGUUCAGUUUUGUUAUGUUCACAACGCAUACAAUUUGAUAUGACGGUGUUCAAGAACAUGUUUGGUUUAUUUAGGUUUUCGGUUUUGCAGGAUUCGGUUUAGCCAGGUUUCACUGUAAAAAAAACUAGAUAAAGAAUAAAAUGUGCUGAAAUCUUGAUUGAUAAAUUGACAUUGGACGACCUUACAAUGCGUCAACCAAUUUACCCCGAAGAUCUUUACAUAAAGAAUAUUAUUAAUCAACAUUUUCUUUGCCCUUGGAACUCAUACAUUUUCAUUAUUGUAUUUCAUAUGAGGGCUUUCCAUUUGUCUUUUCUAUAAAUUAAUUUAUUUUCCUUGUUCAACAAUAAUGUCGUCUGCUCUAUUAGAUUCAGAGAAGUUGGAACCUUCGACGGCCAUUAACUAUAUAACCUAGGCUAUCAGUUGUGCGUUUUAUUAGCAUAAGGAAUUCGCAAAAUAUCUUAAGCUUCUAUUUGAUUGUAUUUGUAGGAAUUCGCUAGGGUUCAAGUAGCGGACAUUACCGCGAUUAACAGCAGUAGGCUACACAUUGUUUAUGGAUUACUGAUUUAGUGUCCAUUCAAUUUCUCGCUGUAGCAUGCACUUGCAUUAUUUAUGAACUAUCAAUUAACGGGAUUGUGAUCAUAAAAGCGUGCAUAAAAAAUAUGAUGCUUUUCUUCUAUUAAUUGGUAUCGUUCUUAUCAAUAAAUAACAGACCAUAUCUUAUACUUUGUGUAGAUAAAUAUAUUAUUCAGUCCAACAAAGAAGAAUUAUUAUCGGAAAAGCAUUAUGUCUGGUUCACCAAUUUUAAUUAUUCCUCCGAUUUUAAUAGUCACAUUUAAGUAAAUUGAUUACAAAUGCCAUGGAAUAGUCCCUUCGUUUUCGACUUACGAGUUUGAUUAUUCCGGCUAUGGUAUUUUUCGCCUCAGUACUCUUCUUUAUAAAGAUAGGUUAAAAAAAGAGGCCAUACAAUAAAGAGAAUCAAUUUACUCAUGUGUCGAAAAUGGACUGAUAAAAUCUAUGUAAAUAAACGAAAACUCGACAAAAAGACAACAACGAAAAUCAUAAAAAAAAACUACAUAAAAACAAUAGACUGUGCUAUACAAACUCUGCUCAAACCUGCAUUUAUAUCAGGUGUUACAGAAUCAAGAUGGGCAGAACUUUCUCCAAAAACAUUUUUUUUUAUUUCAACUUCAAAAUUUAGAUAGGAAUACACGCAAUUCUAUGUAUGAGUUUGAUUGCUUGCGUCGAUGUUCUAUGAAGAACGACAAGACAAUUUCUCAAUUUGAAAAUUAUCAUAGGUCAUCGUACGGCCAUCAUUAAUGAUAAAAUACCAUACCGAAUAGCCCGAAAUAGAAACUGGGUCUUUAAACCAGGUUAUCGGAUCCUUUACACGAGGUGAGCUAAAAAGGUAAUCAAUCAAAUGAAUGAUUUUUUUUUAAAUUUAUACAUUUUUAGAUGACAUGCGAUCUUUUAAAAUACUCCUUAAUGAAAAUUUUAUUGUAAACUGUAUCCCUUAAUUAUUUCAGCUGAAUGAAUUUACGUUUAUAUGAACAGGUAAAGGAAACAACAUUAUGUAACCGGGGUAAUUCUACACCGACGGUAUAGUAUCAUUUCCGGAUCACGUUACGUAACCAGGGUAACUCAACACCCUCAGUCUCGUUAUUAUUUCCGAAUAACAUCCGAAAAGUAUAUGUUUUGCUUCGUCAUGAUAGCAGAGCAGUUUUAUUAUUUUAUUUUUAAGUUUAAGAUUACUUAAAUGAACAUAAAAUUGCUUGCUGAUGCAUUACAAUUUAAAGUUACCUCUUAUAUGGUUGUAAAUACGUGUAAAAAAUCAAAAUAAGACUUUAAACAUCAAUUAAACGGUAUGGUUGUCGCUCAAUGUUAAAAAGCUAACAUUUAAUUUUUAUUGGGAAGGGUGAGGUGGGCUGGGAAAAAAAUAUUGUCUUGCCUCUUUUUGUCUAAAAUUUAAUACCUGCCCUGCCUUUUGUAUUAUUCUAUCUAACAUACAUUGUCAUCUUGCCUUUCUUGUCAAGUUGCCAAUCCUGCCUAAAAAGCAAAUGGAAGCUCCCUAAUUGCUAUACGGUUAUAAAUAUAUUUGUAGUUGUUAAUAUUUACCUCAUUCUGUCGUAAGUUGUCUCAUUGUUUGCAAUCAUACCACAUCUACUUAUUAUAUACUGACGAACUUCACAAUUUGGUCCAGGUACGUAAAUAUGGGAUGGGACUAAACUAUAUAUAUGGUAUGGAGUUUUCCAUUGUUGAAGGCGGUCGCUUCUAAUUUCUAACUUUACCUUUACUUUACUAUGGGAGAUCUAGUUUUCUCGUUCGCAAUCAUACCACAUCUCAUCAUUUUAUACUAUAAUAAUGCAUUGACAUACUAUCAUAGACAUGAAAUUAUUUAUAAAGAAGGAAGUCAAGACUGAGUGUGAACUGAUAACAUCUUUGUAGUUCAGCUUAAUUUGCUAAAUAUUGGUCAUCCAGGUUCUCGCGUGACUUUCUUUGCCUAUUAUAGUUGACAUAAGGUCGCGCGUGAAGAAGUGUGAACUGAUAGCAUCUUUUUAGUUCAGCUUAAUUUACUAAAUAUAGGUCAUCCAGGUUCUCGCGUGACUUUCUUUGCUUAUUAUAGUUCACAUAAGGUAGCAUCUUUUUAGUUGGGCUUUAUUUGCUAAAUAUAGGUCAUCCAUGUUAUUGCGUGAAGGUAAUUUGUAACGAUAGUAUCUAUGUAGUCGGCUUUAUUUUUUCAAUAUAGUUCCUAUAAGGUCGCGCGUGAAGGAAAUGUGAACUGAUAGCAUCUUUUUAUAGUGUGGCUUUAUUUGCUUAAUAUAGGUCAUCCAGGUUCCCACGUGAAGGAAAUUAGUAACGAUAGUAUCUUUGUAGUUAGGCUGUAUUUGCUAAAAUAUAGUUCAUACAGUGUUGGGUGUGCAGGAAAUAUGAUACUUUUUAUAAAAAUAAAUGAUAAAACGGGUUCUUUAAAGGAUUUCCGGUACAAAUUAAAAUCAUGCGUAGUUUAAGUCAUAUUUCGAUUUGAAACAUAAUCUUUAAUGAUUAUUUUAGUAAAUCAAAUAAUUAAAAUUAAAUAAUUCAUUUUGAAACUUAAUCUUCAUCAUUAUCGCUAUUUUAUAUUGUUAUCAAUAAUGAAUGGACAUUUAUGAAAAUGAGUGAAAUGGCGGCUGUGACCGUGAUCAUUUUUCAAUGCGCAUGAGAAUCCUAAUGUAGUACAUGAAAAUCGGAGUAUCAAAAACUCUUUUUUUUUUUUUUUUUUUUAUAUCUAGAAUGAUUUUGCAAAUGCAUGAAUUAAAUUUCAAUUCACAUUUCCUUAGAGCAUUUCAUAUAUACAAUUCAUAUUUCUUCAUUUUCCUUGCAAAAUGCUAGAAUAAUAAAAUUUAAGGUACGAUUAUCAAAUUUAAGUUUCAACUAAACAAUACGGAAGCUACUAACAAGAAAAUUGGCAUUGAACUCGUUUUAAAAAAAUACAACAUUUCAUAUUUUUAAAAUUCGACUUUAAUUCGAAAUUUCAACUUUUCAAAUCUCGAAAUUUUAAAUUUAACUAGAACAUUAUAAUACAGUGCAAACCAGGUUGCGUUCAUCAUUUAUUAAAGCCGGGUCAUUAAAAUAGAAACUAUUUACCACAACAAUCAUAGUGUUUGUUUCCGAUUUAUAGUGCGGUGAAUGAAGGCAGAUUUUUUGGAAUUUAAUCUCCCCACCGAACACACACCUACAUAAUAUAUCAUUGGAAAGAGGAAAUCGUGUACUAUAAUAAUAUGCCUGUCGUCAGGACUUGAUAUGGUCACAUUUUUUUUUAAAUUGAGGUCAAAGGUCAUAUGUAAAAAUUUGUGAAAAUUUGGGUGGGUUUCAAUUUUGACAUUUUUUUCUAUUUCUAAACUCUACCUCAAUACAAAUGAUACUGUUUUGGCUUUAGUAAUGUUUGUUAUUAUACAUAAACCUUAAUCAUUGAGAUUUUUUUAUCAAAAAAAAUUCCUAAAACGACGUUAUAUAAACAAAACUUCAAAAAUCAAGUUUUCAACCUAUAAAAUGUUAAGAGCACCUUAACCUUAUGAAAAAUAUCAAUUUCAGGUAAAAAUCAAGUGUCAUGCAGGACAAUACUUUAAAAUUAUUUUUUAAACUAUCAUAGUGGGUGAGGUCAUCAAACCAAAGCCAUAGAACACUACAGUCAAAUAUGACCUCAAAUUGAAUUUGCGGAUACUUCAGUUUUUUUUAUAGACUACUCGUUGCUUUUGUUUUUUUUUCACAAUUAUUACUGCUACCAUAGUAUUAUCUUUUGUUGUGUAUUUAACUCUGGUUAAUAUCUAUUACAUUAUAGGUUUUGUAACUAUAUCCCCCCUUUUUUUUCCCUUGCAACGUACCACAAACUUCAAAAGUAUUCCAUAUAUAAAAAAGAAGAUGUGAUAUGAUUGCAAAUGAGACAACUCUCCAAAUGAGACAUAAAACAAUUAUAGGUCCCGUACGGGUUUCAACAAUGAGUAAAAUUCAUACUGCAAAGUCUUCAAUACCCGAAACGAAUAAUGUAAAACAAACAAAAAAUCUAACGGCCUGAUUAAUGUACAAAAUAAAUAAUAAAGAAACAAAUAUAGUAUAUAGAAACAAACGACAAACACUGCAUUAUCGUCUCGUAACACUCCCCUAACCUUGUGCAACAAGCUUUAUACCAAAUCAACCCUUAUCUCCAUCAUGUUCAUUUUCAUCAACCGUCACAAUAUCAAUAACGGUACCAUUCUUUCUGCACCAGAUGCGCAUUUCGACUAUACAUGUCUCUUCAGUGAUGCUCGUGGCCAAAAUAUGUGAAAUCCAAAGCUUAUAUUAAAGAUGAAGAGCUAUAGUCCAAAAGUUCCAAAAAGUAUAGCCAAAUCCGUGAAAGGAACCAGAGCUUUGCAUGAGGGAGAUACAUGCCUUAAUAUAUAAUAAUUUCUACCAUUUUGUAAGAGCAAAUUUUAAUGAAACAAAAAAUCCGUAUUUUCAUGCCAGUACCGGAGGACUGGCUACUGGGCUGGUGAUACCCUCGGGGACUAAAAGUCCACCAGAAGAGGCAUCGACCCAGUGGUAGUAAUAACAAUAACGGUACCAUUUUUUCUGCACCAGAUGCGCAUUACGACAAUACAUGUCUCUUCAGUGAUGCUCAGGGCCAAAAUAUGUGAAAUCCAAAGCUUAUAUUAAAGAUGAAGAGCUUUAAUCCAAAAGUUCCAAAAAGUAUAGCCAAAUCCUUAAUAUUUCUACACAUUUCACUCAUGGCCACAGGUCUACACAUGAAAGGUUCUGCUCAAAGCAAACACGUUAUUUUGAGUUUUUCUUUACAAGUACAGACAAGGUAUUGUAGGAAGUCCGAAGAUAUUUGUUCCUAAAAAAUACCAGCUUCAAACCAUCCCUAUCAGUUCAUCCAAGAUUUAACAGAGAUCUAUAAGGGGGUUUAGGAAGGUGUGAUGACAUCCAUAUGCUUGUCUGCAAAGAUGCUGGGGAAACAUCAUACGAGAAGUACACACUAUCUUGAAUUCGCUCAAUUUCAUGGUUGGCAACACAUUAGAUAGCGUCGCACUUUACUUUAACAUGUUUAAGAGGCAUAAAAUCCUUUGGCAUUCAAUGUUUCAACAAGGUGUUUUGAACCAAACUCAUGGCACAUUUGUAAUGCCAAUAAAAUGAAAAGGAGUAAAACCAAAAUGAUUGCCUCAACAAUUGCUUAGCAUUUCCACAAUUUCUCUGAUGCCAUUUCUUGAGAAUAGUCUUGGCCUUGCAGUUUCAUGGAGUAACUAUAGAUACUUUUGCUGAAAUUCUCCAGUCAUUCAAUAGUUUACAAAAUUCUUCCAACAACACUUUACAUACUUUAAACUACGCUCUGAAUGCCCGCGAUCUCGCGGGUGUGUUCUAGUGAAGUUUAAAAGAUGGACGGGAAACUAUUUCAACUUUAGCUUUAUUUGACACGAAUAAAACAUUUUUAAUACGCUCAUCUGAUUCUAACUUGAGUAAUUUUUUAUCUUUCUAAAAUGUUUUGUUGCAACAAAAUAUACAAGCGCUCCAGAUGAACGACUGCAUUCUAGAACGUGUACACUGAAUACCCGAAACUGACGGACAACAGUCAGAUAACUGUAUAUCGUCAAACUUCCUGCACGGAGUUCUUCAAAUUAACAGCUAUCGCAUGAAACAUCUUGAUGUCCCCCUCAUCCAAUCUUUUAUGCAAUGCAGAUACAAAAGUCGACUUCCCUAAACUGGUAAAUUGACUCAAAAUUUCAAUCGAGGUUUUUUUAGCAUAUUUUUUAUUCACUGCAUAAAAUUUAACGACUUUUGUCUGUUCUUUGAACUUAAUCGAGCAAGUUGCAAAGGACUUAACAUAUCACGGAAUAUUUACUGAAACUAUCCGUCAAUUAUUUUGAUUUUACAAUAAGACUUUUCUGACAAAGUAUAUUUGAUGUUUUAUAACGAAAAAAACAUAGAAUAUAAUCAUAUACAAACAAAGUAUGUGGCAUAUAUCAGUGCACUUUAAUUGAAAAUAUGUGUAUAUAUUCGAAAAAGGUAGUAAUUUCAUAUAUCAUUUGAGAGCAAAUUAUUGACUAAUACACAAAAUGGGACGGAAGGCAAGUGAUUGAGUUCCGUGUUGAAAUUGAAGAUUUUUACUCCAUUCUUUUCCCAUUGAUUUCUUAAGGUUUUUUUCAUAUUUUGGUUCCGAAAUUUUUAUCACUUAUUAGUUUUAUUAAAUACUAUAUGCUAAACAUAUUAUGGGAUAAUUGUUAUUACUACUAUGAAGAAGAAACUAAAGUUUUAGUCUGAAUUUGCAAUUAAAAUUACCUCACUUUUAAAUAGUCUAAACUUCACAAAUUUUAUAGAUUAGAAGAAAAUAUAAUACUGAAUAGCAUAUUUUGACAUGUCAAAAUAGCUUCAGGAAAAACUAUUUCAAUUAAAUGUAAGCAAACAUACCCAUUUUUUCAUUUUGAAAAAGGGGGGUUGAAACUCUCAAAUAUACUACCAGUCAUUAAAACGACUUUUUAGAAAAAAGUGACCGUACGAAAUUCUGACGACAGGGCAAAAACUAAAGAAGACAUAUUUGUCUUUGAGUUAAGACCAUUUUUAGCCGUGUGUUAUUUGGGGAGAUUAAACUCGCGAUCUAGACGACUUUUUACACUUCUGUCACCGCACUAUUAAUCGGUGCGAUCAAAUUAACAAAAACUGUCAUUAUUGUUCUAUGAAAUACGAAACUAACGGGACUAAAUUCACUAGGGAAAGAUAGAGAUGUCACCUCACGAGGCUAACUACACUACUACACUAGGAACUAUCGAACUCCAUUACCUUUUUCAUUGUUCCGAACUACGCGUUACCGUAGUUUCCGAGGUGUCUCGAAGGGGUAACGCUAUAUCAUGAGAAAUUUAUUGCUUUUGUCGGCAUUUUUUUUAAUUAUCUUUGAGACAUAUCAUUUUCCUGUCUGGCAACUAACCCAAUGUAUUAUUAAUAUCUUAAUAAUUCAAAAAGUAUAUUAGCUUUCAUGUUAAACAGUGCAUGUUUUGAAUAAAUCAUGAAGUAUUUUAUUGUCACAAGGAAUUGAUGCCUGACUGUAAAAUAGUAAAUGUGUGAAUUUUUCUAAAGUUAUCGAAUGUUAUUGUUUUUAAGGCGGCUUUUCUCGUUUGAAUUUUGAAGUUUUACAUGUGUCUUUGGGGGGAGGGGGCUUUACAGCUGACUAUGCGGUAUGGGAUUGUUCAUUGUUGUAGGCCGUACGGUGACCUAUGGUUGUUAAUUUCUGUGUCAUUUGGUCUCUUGUGAAGAGUUGUCGCAUUGGCAAUCAUACCACCUCUUCUUUUUUUUUUAUAUUUCUUAUACCCUUAUGCAUGUUAUAGUUUUUUUUCUGGAAAUCUAUAUUACUAAAUGAAGUUCUCCGUUCCUGUUUUUUUUUUCAGUUUAGUACAAUUUUUCAAUUAAACAAAAAUUAUUAUUUUUUAUUUUUUUUAUUUUGGCACUUAAUACUUACUAUUUUGUGUGCUGAUUAUAUAAAGCCAAUUCAGACUCUUGUAAAUAUUGAUGGUUGCUUGGUUGCUUGGUUUCUUUGCCGGUUGAUGGAUUAAAUACCACUUUAAUCACGUGGAUGUUUAUAUCGUGGUAGCCAUUUUUUCUUGCCAGUAGUCAAUAAAGCAAAAUGUCGAAUUGCACCUGCCACGUUGACAGUCAAGUGAUACAGUAGAAGAACUACUCAGUCACGCUCUACAUAGAUAUAGGAAGAUGUGGUAUGAGUACCAAUGAGACAACUCUCCAUCCAAAUAAUAAAUAUUUACCAUUAUAGGUCAAGGUAUGGCCUUCAACAUGACCAUAUAAUUGAUAUUCUUCGGUGUUGACAUGAAUAUCAAUUAUAUUGUCAUUUUUUUAAAUUUCCAAUUGACAAAACUUUGAAUUUUCAAAAAACUAAGGAUUUUCUUAUCCCAUGCAGGAAUAAAUUUCCUUAGCCGUAUUUGGCACAACUUUUUGGAAUUUUUGGUCCUCAAUGCCCUUCAACUUUGUAUUUGUUUGCCUUCAUAACUAUUUUGAUCUGAGCGUCACUGGUGAGUUUUAUCUAGACGAAACGCGCGUCUGGCGUGUUAAAUUAUAAUCCUGGUACCUUUGAUAACUAUGGUAGGCCUCUAAAUGUUGAGGAAACUGAAUCGAAACGUUUAUGUUUAGUCCAUUUACAUGUUAAUGAGAGUGAUACAUGUAUAAUUAUUCGCCUGCUCAUUAAAGUUCAUGAAACAUUAUUAACGUUUUUCUUUUUCUUUUUAUUAUUAUUUGACAAUAUGAAAUUACUGUACUAGAAAACGGACUAGACAAUUAUCAAAGACAUAAACACAAUUAUAGUUCUCAGUUUCACAUCUGAGGUGUGUACGUGAUUCAUGCACAUAAUAUCUCCGUAUUUGAGUAAACUUUUAUUGUUUUCAAAUAUAUUUGUUUCAUAUAUAUAUUAUAAAAUGCAAAUAUAAAAUAUAGGAUUUAUGUCUCUCUUGGAAUAGUAUACUUUUAAUAUAUUAUGUAUCUGACAGCGUCUCUAUACAAAUAUACUUAACAAAAGUAUAUAUUUGUCUACGUGCACAAAGUAUUGCAGAUUCAUUUGCUUACGUUUGCUGAAUUUUUUGUUUUUGUGGUUUUUUUUUUUUUUUGUUUGUUUGUUUACAUCAUAGACAUUUGGUCUUUAUGGUAAUCACACCAUAUCUCUCUAUAUGCUAUUAAGAAUUUUGCCAACAGGCUCAUAUCAUACAAAAAGUAAAAUUUAAAGUGUUCAUGUGCCUUUAAUGUAAAAUAUAUCUAAAUUGAUAUCUGCACAGAAAUGAAAGGAUAUGGUAUGAUUGUCAGCUAGACGACUAUCCAACAUGCAGACACCAAAGCACCCGGAUGUAAUCAACUGAAUGUUACCAACACUUUAAUGAACAUCGUACCAUGCCUCUCUGUAUGUUAUAAAUAAUAUUGCCAACAGGCCGUCAUAGGAAAAAAAUAAAUAAAUUAAAGUGAUCAUAUGCCUUUAAUGUAAAGUGUAUAUAAAUUUAUAUCUGCAUGGAAAUACAGAGAUGUGGUAUGAUUGUCAGUGAGACGGCUAUUUAGCAGACACCAAAGGACCCGGAUGUGAGCAACUUUAGGGUAGAGGUCACACUUCAAUGAACACUGUACUUGUAUAUAUACUUGUGGACAUCCAAUGUGUCAUUCCUAUCGGAUAUUAAGCUGCACUUUAAUAGCUUUUCAAAAUGUCAGUUUAUAAUUUUUUUGGAACGCAAAUGAAUUUGACAUUUCCUGUUUGUGUCUCCUCUUAAAUUCGCCGUUUCAGAAUCUAAUGCACACUGGGUAAUAUUCUCAAAAGCGUACACCAUAACGUUGUGUUGGUUUAAAACGUUCUAAACAAUGGAAAUUCAACCAAUGAGUGACGUUAUUUUCAUUUUGGGGUACGGACAAUGAAAUUACCCAUGAUUCUUUAGAUUCGGAAACGCCUAAUUGUCAAGAACCUAAGCGGUAUGAAGAUAAAUUCAUCUUUAUGAAGAUAAGGAGAUGUGAUAUGAUCCCCAAUAGGACAACCAUUCUCCUGAGACGAAAGGCCGAGGAUGUCACAAGUCACUAUGCGGCCUUCAACAAGGAGCAAAACUGAUAUCGUAUAGCAUUAUAGAUACAUCAGAAACUGGCGUGACAAACAAUUCAAAUCAAUUAUGCUAAAAUAAUAAACGAAUAAACGAAAAACGAAUUUAGAGAGCAAGCAACAACCAAUGAUUUACAGGCUUCUGAUUUGAGGAGAGGGAUAUACAGAAUGUGACGGUGCUAAACAUCUUUGUUUUCACCCAUACCUCCCCAUUAACUAGGACAGCGUUGUAAAACAAACUGUAAAAUAAGUUGUAAAAGGAGGUCAUUUGAUAAUUUGACAUAGUCAUACUAUAAUUUGAUAUAGCUCUAUUUUUGAGGAACAAUAGAAUAAAACAAUUGAAACCGUGAUCAGAUAUAUAAAGUAACCUAUUUAGAUCAUUUUGAUCCUUAUCAACUGAAACCAAAACAAGUAAAUUGCGUUUAUAUUUCAAGAGCACACUUUAAAUACUUGAAAGGUUAAAAGCCUACACCCGGACUAUUGUCAUAGUCACAUAUUGUGUAAGUAUUCUAUAAAUAGAUGUUCUAAAUUCAGGACGUUCACUUUUUUAUGAACUCCCAAUACAAAGAAACGUAUAAAAUUAUAUUUGCAUAGAUAACUGUUCAAAUAAAAUUUGUUGUGCAUUCCAUUUAUGUCCUUGAAAACGUGACGUAAUAUCGAAAUACAUUUUCGAGAGUACACCUUAUCACUACGGCGUUAUAAAAUAGUACUCGACAUGAAAAGCUAUAUACAUAAUAAAAUUGAGAAUGGAAAUGGGGAAUGUGUCAAAGAGACAACAACCCGACCAAAUAAAAAACAACAGCAGAGGGUCACCAACAGGUCUUCAAUGUAGCGAGAAAUUCCCGCACCCGGAGGCGUCCUUCAGCUGGCCCCUAAACAAAUAUAUACUAGUCCAGUGAUAAUGAACGCCAUACUAAUUUCCAAAUUGUACACAAGAAACUAAAAUUAAAAUAAUACAAGACUAACAAAGGCCAGAGGCUCCUGACUUGGGACAGGCGCAAAAAUGCGGCGGGGUUAAACAUGUUUGUGAGAUCUCAACCCUCCCCCUAUACCUCUAACCAAUGUAGUAAAGUAAACGCAUAACAAUAAAAAUAUUUCAACUGUUACUGGGUGUUGGUGAAUAUUUCCGUGAAUUAAAUUCUAUAGUUGCAGAUCAAGAGUCAACUAAACAUGAUUAAAGACAACAAUGAUUAAUCAAAUGCCAACAUUGUAUCUUUCUAUGUUGUGAUGUUACACUAUUGUUCCAGGUAAGGGUGAAGGUCAACUAAACAUGAUUAAAGACAACAAUGAUUAAUCAAAUGCCAACAUUGUAUCUUUCUAUGUUGUGAUGUUACACUAUUGUUCCAGGUAAGGGUGAAGGUUGGCACCUAUUAAAACGUUUAAACCCGCUGUAUUUGUUUGCACCUGUUCAAAGUAACCUGAUGUUCAGUAGUUGUCUUUUGUUGAUGUGGUUCGCAAAUGUUUCUCGUUUCUUGUUUUUUUUUUUUUUUUAUAGAUUAGACCGUUGGUUUUCCCGUUUGAAUUGUUUAAUACUAGUCUAGUCAUUUUAGGGGCCGUUAAUAACUUGCUGUCCGGAAUCCGUGUUAAAGACCAAACCUAUGAUGGUUGACUUUUACAAAUUGCAACUCGGAUGGAUAGUUGUCUCAUUGGUACUCAUACCACAUCUUCUUAUAUCAAGCAACAUAAUAUAAAAGAAUACAAUUGGUCUAAUGACAUUAGUAUAGAAAAAACAUGUAUUUGACCUCAUUAAAAAGGUCAUUCUUUAUUUUUCAAAAAAUGGAUGGAAAAAUGUGUUCUGCAGUUUUUUUUCUAAGUUGAAGUAUCGGUACAGACAUUUGAUUUUUUAUCUCUCUUCCGUCUUGCCUUUUUUUCAGUUAAUCCUGACAAUUUUAACGUUAAGUGUCAUCCUGACUUUUUGGGGCAACACCCCCCCCCCCUAAAAAAAAUCAAACGGUAACUCCCUAACAGUCAACUGAACAAACUAUACUUCACCUUAUUAAAAAAAAUCCUUUUUCAUGACAUUUUGUUACUGAUCCAAUGAAAUAAAUAUAAUCGAAAUAAAAAAUCUGUAUCUUAAUAAAACUGGCAUGUGUACUUAGAAAUUAAAAUCAAUAAAAAUACAUUAGUUUUUAAGUUCACGAGAACUAUCUGAACAAAAUUAUCCUUUUCAUCUGUUUUCGUAACAUAUUUAUGAUCAAUUACCAUGAUAAAGGAUUUUUAUUUUAUUUGAUUGAAUGUUAUCUAUGAAUUCAUGUGAGUUUCCCUUACGGUAGAUUUGACUGAAAUGGUGUUAUUUUCAUUUAAAUAAAUAUAAUAUUUCGUUAUACUUUUAUGAUUUCCUACGUUUUUGUAAUCGUGCAUAUCAUUGCUAACCUCUCUGAGGAUGUGGACGGGGUCCUUCAUUUUAUUCUUUAUUUUUAGGCUCUUCUCUUUUUCUCUUUUCUUCAUAACUUAUGCCUGUUGUUCUUUAUUCUCCAUAAGUUAUUCCUGUUAUUCUCAAUUCUUUAUAUUUUAACACCCCCUUAUCCGCUAUUUUAUUUUGGUCAUUGACAGUCCCGAUUUCUUUAUACCGAACUUUAUCCGAUAUAAAGGAAAAAAAUACCAUAACAAUGAGUCGUACAAAACUACUCGAACUUUAAACGGACGUGGCAGUGAACUUAUACAUGUAAAUCCCGCUCAUCUAAAUAGAUGCUCCACUUUGCCGUCGGAAAAGGACAAAGGAAUGGACCUAAUAAAAUAUUUAGUUAAAUGGUUCUAUGCUAUUGUGAUGUUAUUUACUAGUAAGUACAGUUACACUGAAGCUGCCUUCAACUUCUAAUUUAUUCAUACAUGUUCAUUUGACUUGAAGGAUUCAUAUUUAAAUUAGCUCUCGCUAAAACGAGUACUAUUUAUGAAUCAAACUUUUAUCAGGGGGGUCGGUUCCGGCGGUUGGAACCCGCCAUUUUUCGGACGAUCAAAGCAUUUGAAUGGGGACAUGUAAUUGAACCCCCUUUUUAUCCUAGGUUGAGAACAUACCCUCUCUUUUUUAAAUGGCGAUGACGACAAAGUUGACCAAGUUUGCAUCAAAGGAAGAGAAAGAGCUCAUGUUAAAUGUCAAACACACAUCGGAAAACCGUUUCCGGAACCUGAAACUACCUGGCGCACAUGUUGUUCUUGUAUAAUUUGUUGACAAAAGCCUAGAGUACUUAUAUAUUUUUUUGUAUUAAAGGAUGUUGACCUAUAAUAGAUUAUUGUCAUCUGAAACAUGAGGCCCCUCAUGGGGGGUCCUAGUAAUCACAUAAUCACCAUUUUUUUGCCAAUAUAAUCACAUAAUCAUUAAAUAUUUGCUUAUCUUUAGUAAUCAAAUAAUCAUAAACUAAAAAUACAGUCCUAGGUAAUCAAAUAAUCAUGAAAUAUUUGGCUUAAUAAUCAAAUAAUCAUUAAAAAAAAUGGCCAAGUAAUCACAUAAUCAAAAACCCCAUGAGGGCCCUCAAACAUCUUAACACUUAUUGUGUUUCUCGGGUCGUAUGACAUUCGAGCAAUAUAUAUAUCUUUUGUUUUCAACAAAGACUAAAAAAUGUAGAUCUAUAAAAGAAACUGAUACGUAUAUUUGUAUAUUGAUACUUUAUUAACACUGUAUACAUGAAGGUCUUGGUGAGAUUUACAGAUUAGAGAAUCCUAGUAGAAAAAAAUCAAAAUAGAGCAGAAUAAAAAGAAAAAUAUGGCACGGAAUCAGGGUCAUAAAUAUCGAUUUUAGUAUAUCCUAAAAUGAUUUCAGUAUAUACUAAAUUACAUUUUAGUAUACCCUAAAUUCAUUUAAUUCAUUUUAGGGUAUCCUAAAGUCAAUUCAGUAUAUACUAAAAUGAUUUUCGUAUAUACUAAAAUGAUUUUCGUAUAUACUAAAAUGAUUUUCGUAUAUACUAAAAUAAUUUUCGGAUACCCUAGUAAAAUCAAUUUAGCAUAUACUGAAAUAUUCAGCAUAUACAGAAAUAUUGGCGCGGAAUCAAGGUCAUAAAUAACGAUUUUAGUAUACACUUAAUUGAUUUUAGGAUAUCCAUAAUUCAAUUUGCUAAUAGUUUUGUUCACCAAUGAAAAGAUCGCUUUCUGGACGAGUUAGAAAGACAGUCAUUGCGACCUUGCUAAGAUGUGGCAAAUGUCCUCUCACUUGAUUUCAAACCUUUAAAUAGACUUAUUUGGAAAGAACAUAGUUACGAUACUGUUGACAGGUCAUUAAGGAUUGCAUACUUUGGUAUUAAUAUUGAUUCACUCCUAUUGUCUUUGCAUCGGAAAUAAACACAUUUAUUCUAUAAACAGUUGUUGGCAUGAUACGGGUUAUGUUCUUCUCAUAUAUUUUAUGAUGGUAUGAUACUAAACCCCUAACGGGAGGGAAUUUACUUGAUUUUCAUAUGAUGAAGACAUAAUCUUUCAAUCAGUUUAAUUGAGGUCUGCAGCUUGCAUGUCAGUCCUUUGUUAAUUUAUGUAUCACAUGUUGUCAUUUUGCUUGGUUUCUGUUGUUGCCUAUUCUGAUAUCUGACUCGGACUUCUUUUGAACUGAGUUUCACUGUGCGUAUUGCUAUGUGUUUCUUUAUUCUACCGUUGAUUUGCUAGAGGUAUAGGGGAGGGUUGAGAUCUCACAAAACAUGUUUAACCCCGCCGCAUUUUCAGUUGCGCCUGUCUCAAGUCAGGAGCAUCUGGCCUUUGUUAGUCUUGUAUGUUUUUUUUUUUAAUUUUAGUUCAUUUAUAUGUUUUGGAGUUUAGUGUGACAUCCAUUUUUACUGAACUAGAACACAAUGUUAUUAAGGGACUAGCUGAGGACUACCGCCGGGAGUGGGAUUUUCUCGCUGCGUUUAAGACCCAUUGGUUGCCUUCGGCUGUUGUCGACUCUUUGGUCGGGUUGUUGUCUCUUUGACAUAUUCCCCAUUUCCAUUCUCAAUCUUAUCUAAUAUCUCGUGGGGCGGAUGCAGGAUUUUCAAAGGCAUAUGGGUUUAUUAGUAAGUUUGAAAUCAAUCAGACUUCGUUUAGAUGGGACAUGUCUUCAGAAUGAAUAAAGAUGAACAAUAUGGGGAGGGGAGUGUUAAAGAUUGAAAAGUUAAACGUUUUUUGUUUGUUUUGUUACUAAAUGAAAUGCACAAUAAAUUUAUGUCCAUCUUUUCUUGGUUAAUCUUCCUCUUGGCUAAUUCAUUUAACGAUUUAAAAGUACAUCAAACGGAACUAAAACUGUAGACGAUGUGUGUUAUACGUCAAUAAGACAGCAAUCAAACGACAAAAAAACACUUUAUAGAUAUAGGAAGAUGUGGUAUGAGUGCCCAUGAGACAAUUCUCCAUCCAAGUCAUAAUUAUAAAAGUAAAUCAUUAUAGGUCAAGGUACGGUCUUCAACACGGAGCCUUGGCUCGCACCGAACAGAAAGCUAUAAAGGGCCCCAAAACAAGUUAAUAGUGUAAAACCAUUCAAACGGGAAAACCAACGGUCUAAUCUAUAUGACACCUGGCAAGCAAAAACGACCCUUAUGGCAAAACUUAUGAAUUAUUAGAUUUUUUUCUUUAUUAAACAGAAAAUACUAAUGCCAACUUAAAAAUUUGAAAACGAUCGGUAAAAAACUAAUUGAGAAAUUUCAAUUUUGGUUACACAUGAAAAUGUGUUCUAACGUAAAAUUCAACAUAACGUUGGAAUCAUACACUUUGACGUCGAUUUAAGUUUGCUGCAAUUUACUAGUUUACUCUUCUCCUGAUGCUUGACAAAAUGGAGCCUGAUAUUCUUUUCUAGCGCCGAAUUUUUGAAAAUAGAUGUUCCUACCUAACACGUACAAGUCCGGAUGCAGGAAUAACUACAGGACGAGCCAACAGAUCAAACUAUUAUAGAGGAAGAUGAAGAGUAUCUAUUUCUUUUUAAACUUGUACUUUUUUUGGGGCAUAAUUAAUUCCUGAUUUAUCAUGAGGAACGAUGAAAUAAUGGUACUUUCUGAUACCAUAUAAAAAAGAAGAUGUGGUAUGAUUGCCAAUGAGACAACUAUCAAAAAAGACCAAAAUGACACAGACAUUAACAACUAUAGGUCACCGUACGAUAAUAGGUUUAAACAAAACAUAAAAUUGGUUUCUAAUCUCUCCAUUGCUAAGUAGUUUCAUCGUUCUUUUGCUUACCAUGCUAAACGACUUAUCUUAUUGAUGAUAAGUUUCGAAAGAAUUCUGCUACAUGAAAUACAGUAUCACUGUUUGAUCAUCAGUAAUUUUUCUAUCUUGACAAAUUCUACCAAACGCUUAAUGUGACCAAAAAACUAGGCAUAUUUUCCGAAUAUCGUCCAGUUAACACACACAAAGCAAGAUAGUCAGUCAUAUGUCGAUUUUUUUCUCCUACAAUAACAGAACAAUAAAUACUUUUAUUUGUUGGAUUUCAAAUAUAAGAAUUUCUUUUUAUUUUGGUAUCGAUUUCAUUUAAUUUUCAGUGUUAUCUUAAAUAUUAUGAUAAUUAAUAAAAAAAAAAAAAAAGCACUGAAGUGUGAACUCCUCAUUCUUCCAGGGCACCAUAUAUUUUCCAUGGGGUUCGUGGUGCUCAAUUUAAAUAUACCCUCAAAUGAAAAUGUAUUAUUCGGUAUAUUAAUUUGUUUAUAUUUUCUUGGUAUUUUUAUUACUGUUGAUGUGUUUAAUCAAAUAUUUUAAACAGGACUCUCCAAUACUAUAGAUAACAGAAAUACAUCUCGACAAACUUAUUUGUCGUCAAAAGUAUAUGUAAAAUCUUGUUCGCUUUCGCUCUCGGGAUUUAUCUACGCCUUUUUAAUCUAAUUUACCCAAUAAAUACAUAUCUUUGCAUUCUUUGGAUAGUUCACGCUUAGAGAGUAUGUGCCUUAUUAUUUCAUCCUGUUCGAAUUGGUUGAUACGUAAAAAAACCACGACAAUCUCUAGUUAUUUUGGCCACCUUCAAACGUUAAAGUUAUUUAUAUAUCAUUAUCUUCAAUGUAAAGUAUGACAUUUUAAUAUAAUGACCAGACCAAAACGCACGGGGGGGGGGGUAACUUCCUAUUAUUAGGUAUACGGGGAUGUGCCAAAAAUAUGGGUCAUAAUUUUGCGAGAUUUAAUAUAAAAAUGACCCUCCUUUUUAAUGACAUCCUAUAUUAAAAUGCAUUUACGUUUGAUAACUGUAUAUUGAUUUGGGGUAUGAUCUACAUAUCAUUUAUAAAUACAUGUAUGCUAUUGAGAAUCUUACAUUAUUAAUAUUUAUGAAUUAUGAGUGAUGAUGAGUUUACUUAAGCAUGGCGCAUGGGUCAUAUUUUAAAUAUUGUAUAUAAGUAUAGGUCAUUCUUUCCUAAAUAUUUAUAUAACUAUAGGUACUGAAUUUCAGUGAAUGUUAUAUUAAAAUGGGUACGUUUUUUGAGGCAAAAAUGGCACACCCCUACCAAAAAAAUAUCGAAGUUACCCCCCCCCCCCCCGUGACGGGGGGGCCAAAACGUCCCUCUGGUAUCUUUCGCCUCUCUUUUACAAGCAUUCGAGACGAUCAAAUCACAUCAAAUAAGUUUUAUGUUAAAUUUGCAGGAUAGUAACACUACAACAUAAGCUCUGGGUGAGCUUUUGAACCAACAGAACGAUUUAGUUUAGACACCAGUCUAUUGUUAACUUGAACACUAUAUGUUGCACUCUACAUAUGCUAAUGUGGUUCAUAAGUGUUUCUCGUUUCUCGUUUUUUAUAUAGAUUAAACCGUUGGUUUUCCCGUUUGAAUGGUUUUACACUAGUAACUUUUUGAGGGCCCUUUAUAGCUUGCUGUUCGGUGUGAGCCAAAGCUCCGUGUUGAAGACCGUACCUUAACUUAUAAUGAUUUACUUUUAUAAUUAUGACUUGGAUGGAGAGUUGUCUCAUGGGCACUCAUACCACAUCUUCCUACAUCUAUUAGGUAGUUUUUGUCGUUUGAUUGCUGUCUUAUUGACGUAUAACACACAUCGUCUACAGUUUUAGUUCUGUUUGAUGUACUUUUAAAUCGUUAAAUGAAUUAGCCAAGAGGAAGAUUAACCAAGAAGAGAUGUAGAUAAAUUUAUUGUGCAUUUAGUAAACAAAACAAACAAAAAACGUUUAACUUUUCAAUCUUUAACUCUCCCCUCCCCAUAUUGUUCAUCUUUAUUCAUUCUGAAGACAUGUCUCAUCUAAACGAAGUCUGAUUGAUUUCUAACUUACUAAUAAACCUAUAUGCCUUUGAAACUCCUGCAUCCGCCCCACGAGAUAAAAGAUAAGAUUGAGAAUGGAAAUGGGAAUAUGUCAAAGAGACAACAACCCGACCAAAGAGCAGACAACAGCCGAAGGCAACCAAUGGGUCUCCAACGCAGCGAGAAAAAUCCCGCUCCCGGAGGUAGUCCUCAGCUAGCCCCUAAAUAAAAUUGUGUUCUAUAGUUCAGUAAAAAUGGAUGUCACACUAAACUCCAAAACAUAUAAAUGAACUAAAAUUUAAAAAAAAAACAUACAAGACUAACAGAGGCCAGAUGCUACUGUCUUGAGACAGGCGCAACUGAAAAUGCGGCGGGGUUAAACAUGUUUUGUGAGAUCUCAACCCUCCCCUAUACCUCUAGCAAAUGUAGAAUAAAGAAACACAUAGCAAUACGCACAGUAAAACUCAGUUUAAAAGAAGUCAGAUAUCAGAAUAAGCAACAACAAAAACCAAGCAAAAUGACAACAUUUGAUACAUAAAUUAACAUAGGACUGACAUGCCAGCUGCAGACCUCAAUUAAACUGAUUGAAAGAUUAUGUCGUCAUCAUAUGAAAAUCAAGUAAAAUCCCUCCCGUUAGGGGUUUAGUUACAUACCAACAUAAAAUAAAUGAGAAGAACGUAACCCGUAUCAUGCUAACAACUGUUUAUAGAAUAAAUGUAUUUAUUUCCGAUGCAAAGACAAUAUGAGUGAAUCAAUAUUAAUACCAAAGUAUGUAAUCCUUAAUGACCUGUCAACAGUAUCGUAACUAUAUCCUUCCGAAUAAGUCUAUUUAAAGGUUUGAAAUCAAGUGAGAGGACAUUUGCCACAUCUCAGCAAGGUCCGCAGUGACUGUCUUUCCAACUCGUCCAGAAAGCGAUCUUUUCAUUGGUGAACAAAACUAUUAGCAAAUUGAAUUAAGGAUAUACUAAAAUCAAUUAAGUGUAUACUAAAAUCGUUAUUUAUGACCUUGAUUGUACGCCAAUAUUUCUGUAUAAAUUAUGCUAAAUUGAUUUUAAGGUAUCAUAAAAAGAUUUUUGUAUAUACUAAACUCAUUUUAGGAUACCCUAGAAUCAAUUUAGGGUAUGCUAAAUUAGAGAAAAAUAGGUCCAACAAUUAAAUAUACAGAACAUUGGCUAUGCGGUGCAAAGCAUACAUAAUAUAUAUAAUAUUGGGCAAAAUAAACAAAGAAUAUAGAGAGAAAAAUAAGGAAUAAAAAGAUGACGGAUCCCUAUCCAGGCCUGUGCUAUUUUUCUGUUCAGUAAUAUAUAUAUGUAAUGGUUUGAUUGCAUAUGUGUACUUAUUUCUUAGUCCUUCAUGUGCGUCUGAGAUGGCAAAUAGACUACAAAAAAAAAAUACCUUACAUGUAAAAUUCUUCAAUGUUGCGUUCCACCUGUUAGUGUACUUAUUUGUUAGUCUUUCUUGUGUAUUUGAGAGAUAUUAUUGACACAAUUCUCCACAAAUACCAUGGAGAUUUGGGUAAACUGGUCCUCCAUUCCAUCUCCGCACCAUCGGUAGCGAUAAGUUAACACAACAGGGUUUAGUUUAUCUGGAACGAGGACCCAUUUAUAUCCCCCUUAGCUUCAAUGCAACUUUAUCAUAAUUGAGGGCAGAAUUUUGUAUUCUCUAUAUUUCAACUAUUAUAAAAGGUUAUCAUUUUUAUCAUAUUUUAUUGGAAAUUCUUUUCGCAUUUAUCCUUAUUUCUUUACAACUUAUAUAUGAUUGUAUAAAUAGAUGAAAUCAAAUACCCAGCUAUUUUGCAAAUCUAGUUCAAAGCCAAACUGUUCAACCUCGUUAUGAUUUCAACCUUACUUUGUACUUAAUUGAUAUUUUUUGGUACCCAUUUGACUAGAUAAUAUUUGUACAUCAAAUGUUACCGUUUAAAUAAACCCAUAAUAUAUUCACAUCAUAUUUUUAUUGUUUGCUUUGAUGUUAUAUGACAAAUAUAAUUAUGCCAAGUGCAAGAUCAAAAGCUGAAGGUCUCAAAUUAUGUUGGCUGAUUUCAGAUGAAAAAUAAAAAAGGUAAAAUUAAAUGUGAUGAGUGAAUGUAUAAACAAGGGUCUAUAUGGAGUUUACAAAUUACAGAAAAUGGGGUACACAAAUAAUGAUUGAUUGGUUUUUGGUCCAGUCUCAAAUGUUUCAUUAAUGUUCAGGAUAAGAACAAAAUAACAGGUAGGUCCGGUUAACUGGGUUGCAAGUCGGGAAAAUCUAAACUGCCACGGGAAAUGAGGGUAAAUUGAAUAGGGACAGAAGUUUAGCCUGGUAACAUGCCACCUCUGAGGGCCACUGAAAGAGUUGUAAGGGAUCUUCACGUGCAGAGAGCGUGACACUCGCUCUACACGAAGCAUCAGAUCUAAUAUCCUCAUUCUGACCGGACAUGGCUGCGUACUUGAUAAAUCAUGCACUUCCAAACGGACCGUCACUUUGGCAAGGGUUUUCCUAACGGUCGGAAGAAGAUCUGUAAUGACCAUAUUUCUAUUCCCAAGUCUUCCUGGAUUGAUAAAUAUGAAAAAUGAAAUAUAAAGAUUUCAAGGUUGAUAAACGUGUAAUAUAAAAAUUGAACAUAAUCGUUAUAAUGAAUAAACAAAAUUUAAGAACAGGGAACGAAAACUGGCUAGAAAAUGAGAAAAAAAAACAGAACACCUUCCCAAACAGACCCUCUUGUUAUUUCAAUUGGUGCAUCAAUUGAUGUGCUCAAGACAGAUACACAAGUUAAUUGUGACAAUAAUAUCAGUGUGUCAUUAGGUCAGGUCAGGUCAGGCUAGUUGCGUAAUUUAUUUAUAGGUUUUAGGACUGGAAAUAGUUCACUGCCCUGCUUCGUUAUUCUUUAGUAUAUUUUAUUACAAAUUUGCAUAUUUGUUUGUUGAAUCUGUCCUCUUUUCUUUUACUAGUUAGAUCUUAAUCAAUUUAAAAAGUCUACAUUUACGAGUUGUAUAUACAUAAUGUACACAGCCAUGUAUCACCAUCAUUGCUGGUGAUCCGAUGGAUAAAUCUGUUGUAGAGUUGUCACUGACUCCGACGUACUUAUUAAUAUAAUUAUUUUCUGUGACUGUAUCUUGCAUUAAUGUGUAGGAUCCUUUACUGUAGAUAAUUGAGCUGAUCUGUAACAAUAACAUCUCCAUGCCCUAUAUAUCAUGUACUGUAGUACGCCGCUAGAUUAAAACUGACGAGGAAGGUAACACACGGCCACCGAAAGCUUUAUUUAUGUGAAGCCCAGGUGGUCGUGUGGUCUAGCGGGACGGCUACAGUGCAGGCGAUUUGGUGUCACGAUUUCUCAGUAGCAUGGGUUAGAAUCCCGGCGAGGGAAGAACAAACAUUGUUGGGUUGAUGUUUAGACGAGUUGUAUAUAUAUAUAUAUAUAUAAUAUAUAUCACUAUAGAAAAAUUAUAUAAUUUGAUCAACAUUCAGAUCUUUCGGAACUCGUGUAGUAUCCGAAGGUCUGGAUAUCAAACGACGAUUGCGUGAUUUUGAUUGGUCGAUAAAUUCUUACAGUUUUCUCAAAUCAGGCGAUCCAGGAUUUGAAAUUGAUUUAGAGAUCCCAAUCCGUCCCUUCUAGUAGAUAUGGCCAUGCUUAUUAAAGUGUAGCCUAGGAUAAAGUUCUCAAGUUUUCUCAACUCGAAAAGCUUGAGAAACUUUUAGACCGGAUCUUAUUAUAGAAGGUGGUUACUGAACACCGACGGAAAUUACAUUUAUUGGGACAAAGUCAUACAAAAAUUAUUCUUUGUAUACAUGCAUAAACCACCACUGCAUUUGUUUGCACCUGUCUUUAGUCAUGAACCUGAUGUUCAGUGGUUGUCGUUGUUGAUGUGGUUCAGAAAUAUUUCUCGUUUCUACGAGUCUCCCUUUUGACGACCGUACUUUGACCUUUAAUGGUUUACUUUUAUAAAUUGUGACUUGGAUGGAGAGUUGACUCAUUGGCAAUCAUACCACAACUUAUGUUUAUAUAUGUAGGCACCAUUCUUCUCAUACUAAAGGACAUCUGGUGUAAAUGUACUAUAUUUACUGCUAACAUACAUUUCAUAUACAAGUUAUUGAUCCAAGUUAUUUUUGUACAUCAAACAACAAUUACUAAUAUAGUAUGAUAAAUUUUUACAUUGUAUUGUGUGACUUACUGCUUUAUCAAAAUAUGAAAAAUAUAUAUACAUUGAAACCUGGCUGAAACAAAUCCUGCAUAAACCAAAAACCUAAAUAAACCAAACAUGUUAUAAAAGCAUUGUUUUAUCAAAUUGUAUGCGUUGUGAACCUGACAAACCCGCACAUUUGCCAACACCGAAUAAAAUCUUAAAGUCCCGAAGAGGUUCGGUUUAUAAAGUUUUCACGGUAUGAUAAUGAACGAUCGUAAAACAGCUUACUCCAGCUGUAUGUAAAAUAUUUUAUUUAAAUUUGAUUGUAUUUAUUCAGCUAUUUAGUGCAUAGUUUAUUUUAAUGGUUACUUGAAUACCAUAUUGAACAUGUGGUAGUAUACAUAAUAUAUACAAGUAAUGUUGUUAAAUUGUGAGUUAUUAUGUAAGUUCAUGCAAGUCUAUAUAAUAUGCACUUUAUAUUAACUGUAUUCUUGGGUUUGCCGGCGUUUAUACUUUCAUAAUAGAAAUAAUGCCGUAUGUUACGAUUUUCAGAAAUACUUUUCUAAUGAAUAAAAAGUUUUUUUACUUUUUGAAAAAAUGGACAACUUGCACAUGCGGAUCCAGGAUUUUGGUAGGGGGAUGGCAAGCCAACGUUGGGAGUAAUAUAUACUUGUAAUAGUCUAUUCAUUUGUCAUAUAUAUAUCAAAUAUGAAGCUUCAUAAGUAUGCCCCGGCCCCCUGUCCACCUUAAUCCGACUCCUGACUUUUUAGGGGUUGACCGUUUGAUUUUUCUUUUAGAAUAAGAAAGUAAAAAAAUAGAGUGAGAGAGGGAAAUUAACAGAAAUAAAAUUGAGAAUGGAAAUGGGGAAUGUGUCAAAGAGACAACAACCCGCCCAAAUAAAAAACAACAGCAGAGGGUCACCAACAGGUCUUCAAUGUAGCGAGAAAUUCCCGCACCCGGAGGCGUCCUUCAGCUGGCCCCUAAACAAAUAUAUACUAGUCCAGUGAUAAAAACGCCAUCUAAUUUCAAAUUGUACACAAGAAACUAAAAAGUUAAAAUAAUACAAGACUAACAAAGGCCAGAGGCUCCUGACUUGGGACAGGCGCAAAAUGCGGCGGGGUUAAACAUUUUGUGAGAUCUCAACCCUCCCCCUAUACCUCUAACCAAUGUAGUAAAGUAAACGCAUAACAAUACGCACAUUAAAAUUCAGUUCAAGAGAAACAUGACUGCCAAAUUCUUCUUUGAAAAAUCAAGUUGUGUUUGUUUAGCUGCCAUCAAAAAACUUAUUUUCCAUUCGAUGAACUCGUGUAAUCCUCGAUGUUUCUCUUUUAGUAACUACGUAACCUUAAUGAAAAGGUGUGCACGUUUUACAGCGUAAUUAUCAAAAGAAAAUCGAACACUUUGAUCAAACGCGCUUCAGAAUUACUCCUCUGAAUAUUUGUCAAAAAUCAGUGCACUAUUUUUUCCGCGUACUCGUUUAUCCCUUCAUCUUAACUACGUCAGCAAAAAAUCAUUAUAAGUUCGGGUCGUACAUUUUAAAAUGUAUCUAUUUUAAAUAACAUGUUAAUGAAUUGAAAUAUACAUGUCGUUUGCCUUCAUACGACCCGGAACGCCCACCAAAACAGCCUAUGGUUACUAAAUUUGAAUAAAAUAUGUCAUAAUUAGAUUUAGUUGUUAUUCGAAGUGAAAUUAAUCAUAUUAAAAGCUUAUAUCACUUUAUUUGAUGUAUUGGAGGUGGCUAGGUACAGUAUAGUACAUGUAAUUGAAAUGGGAUACACGUUUAAACUACAAGGUUAUUUAAACAGGGAAUAGGUGUAAACUGGUCCUGGUUUCGGAAAUUAAUGCAUAUAAAUAAUAAAACGUUGUUUUGAAUUUAAAACUUAUUAAAAAAGUGAAUAAAUUGUCACGUGUUCACAUUUAGACUGGAACAGCCAACACACGUAUAAGACUUUAAAUUUAUGCGAAAAUGCUCCUUGCAUUUGAGCAUGUUAACCUGGGUAUAGGAAUAUCACUGUAUUAAAGAGAUAAUCGUAACUGGGAUUACGACGCACGGCACAUAUAGGUAAAAUCUUUAAAGUCAUUUUUCUCAAAUGUAGCAUGUUUUUGUCAAUAGUUACUCAGCUACAAGGUUUUUCUAUAUCAUUUCAUCAUAUUUGAAUCGUAACGGUGCACUGGAAUUGUUUAAGCGCUUUGAAAAUUGCCGUUGAAAAAUUCGGGAUGAUAAUCUUAACUCUAUGGCAUUUUUCUUCUUUGAUAAUCGUAAUUUCUUUAUCGGAUAAUAGUAACUAAAACAUAAUAAAUGUGUCUUUCAGUAUUUCAAUGGUAUUUUGUGUGUUAAAAAUGCAAAUGUCCAGUAUAAAGAUGACAUUAACGCAUAUAAAAAUAAAUGAAGACACUUACAGGUUAAUAUCUAGGACAAAUUUACUUAUAUAUCUCUAUUUUAUAACUGACAACAAUAUGCACAACCUUUUAAUAUAUGCAUGAACCUGUUAAAGAUGUGGAAAAUGAAGCAGUUGUCGAGUCAGUUAUUGUGGUAAGUAUACUGUAGAUAUUUUUAUUUUUUUCAAAGUUUUAAUGUCGUGUGCGCGUUUAAGUUUUUAAUUUUUUUUUUUGGCGGGGGGGGAGGUAUGAUUAGCUAAUAUCCUAUAUCCCAAAAGUACAAUCUUUUCAAUUCAUUGCUCAAAAUAAAAGUCACGUAUACCACAUUUUCAUAUGUCAUAUGUUUUGCCUCCAAUACUACGUUUAUACUAAAAUUCUGGGCGAAAUGAACAAAAGUUUCCAUCAAUGACUUUAUAACUGCAUUAUCGGAUUUAACAGUUGAUAAUUUUAUCGAAAGAUAUGAGUGUUCAUAUUUCCCUUUACUUUACAAUUCAAUAAAUAUAGCCGUCCAUAUUUUAUCCCUUGGAUUUUCUUUUUUUCUAUUUUAUGCUGAUAUGAUAUAUGAUUUUAAAAAUUAAAUUCAAAUGUUUUGAUCAAUUUAAUACCCAUGUAUUUUAGGACGUUUCUUUAAACAGUGUGGAUGGUAAAGGAUCUAGAAUAGUUACCAGUUUAUUGUUACUAUUGUUUAUUGUUACUAUUGUUUGUUAUUGUUUAUUGUUACUUUGUUUAUUGUUACUUUGUUUAUUGUUAUUUUGUUUUUUUGUUUUUAUUACCCUAACCUAUGGUCUUACUAAGCAUAAAUUUUGACGCACUGAAAAAAAAACCCAGAAAUAUAUAUGAUAUAUAUGUAUAUUGAUGAAUUACAUCAGAAGGCAUAACUUGUAGAUCAUCACAGUCGGAACUGGUUCAAUUAGAAAGAUUUUUAUAGAUUUUAAAACAAAUAUUUUGUGCUUCAGAAAAAUGCAUGACAAUUAGGUAAGGCUUAUUUUUGUUAUCAUUUAAUAGAAAAGUACUAAUUAUAUGGCAAGUAUGCAAGUACAAAAAUGUUCCUUGUUUAGUACCUUCAAUAUUUUCCCCUACAAUAUCUUCCAUGCAUAUGUAUGCAUCAUACUUUUCAUAUACCAAGUAUUUUUAAAUUAGUUUGUUUCUAUAUGGCGGAAUAUGCGUUAUUUUUUUUUCUCAACAUUGCAGUCAUUCUUUGAAUAAGUAAUUCUUGUAAGAAAAUUUUAAGCUACAUCAAAUUUAUUUCUUGAUUCGCAGGCUUUUGGUCAAACUAUAAAAUAACACAAAUCCGUGUUUGUCAAUGAACUCCACGUUAGAAUGUGCUUAACUUCAUAAGACACAAAGCAUCCCAACCUUUCUCUAGUCUUAUAUAGCAUUGAAUGUUUUAAGGAUGUCAUAUUAUUAUAAUGCAAAAUUAAAUUGGUGUUGUUUAUAGUUAUUUUCUGAGAUAUCGAAAUUUCAGUGACGGUCAUGAAGUAGCUAAUAUAAAAAAACUAGAGGCUCUAAAGAGCCUGUGUCGCUCACCUUGGUCUAUGUGCAUAUUAAACAAAGGACUCAAAUGGAUUCAUGACAAAAUUGUAUUUUGGUGAUGGGUGAUGUGUUUGAAGAUCUUAUUUACUGAACAUUUUGCUUUUACAAUUUAUCUAUAAUGAACUUUGCCAUUAGUAACAGAGAACUAUAUUUGGUAAAAAUUUACAAAAUUUACCAAAUUAUGAAAAUUUGUAAAAAUUGACUAUAAAGGGCAAUAACUCCUAAGGGGUCAAUUGACCAUUUUGGUCAUGUUGACUUAUUUGUAGUCUUACUUUGCUGAACAUUAUUGCUGUUACAGUUUAUCUCUAUCUAUAAUAGUAUUUCAAGAUAAUAACCAAAAACGGCAAAAUUUCUUUAAAAAUUACCAAUUGGAGGGCAGCAACCCAACAACCAGUUGUCCAAUUCAUCUGAAAAAUUCAGGGCAGAUAGGUAUUGACUUGAUUAACAAUUUAACUUUUUGUCAGAUUUGCUCUAAAUGCUUUGGUUUUUGAGUUAUAAGCCAAAAACUGCAUUUUACCCUAUGUUCUAUUUUUAGCAGUGGCGCCAUCUUGGUUGGUUGGCCAGGUCACGCCACACAUUUUAAACUAGAUACCCCAAUGAUGAUUGUGCCAAGUUUGGUUAAUUUGGCCCAGUAGUUUCAGAGGAGAAGAUUUUUGUAAAAGAUAACUUUUUAUGAAAAAUGGUUAAAAAUUGACUAUAAAGGGCAAUAACUCCUAACGGGUCAACUGACCAUUUUGGUCAUGUUGACUUAUUUGUAGAUCUUACUUUGCUGAACAUUAUUGCUGUUUACAGUUUAUCUCUAUCUAUAAUAAUAUUCAAGAUAAUAACCAAAAACAGCAAAAUUUCCUUAAAAUUACCAAUUCAGGGGCAGCAACCCAACAACGGUUGUCCGAUUCAUCUGAAAAUUUCAGGGCAGAUAGAUCUGACCUGAAAACAAUUUAUUCGAUGUCAGAUUUGCUCAAAAUGCUUUAGUUUUUGAGUUAUAAGCAAAAACUGCAUUUUACCCCUAUGUUCUAUUUUAGCCAUGGCGGCCAUCUUGGUUGGUUGCCGGGUCACCGGACACAUUUUUUAAACUAGAUACCCCAAUGAUGAUUGUGGCCAAGUUUGGUUUAAUUUGGCCAGUAGUUUCAGAGGAGAAGAUUUUUCUAAAAGAUACUAAGAUUUACGAAAAAUGGUUAAAAAUUGACUAUAAAGGGCAAUAACUCCUAAAGGGUCAACUGACCAUUUGGUCAUGUUGACUUAUUUGUAGAAUCUUACUUUGCUGAACAUUAUUGCUGUUUACAGUUUCUCUAUCUAUAAUAAUAUUCAAGAUAAUAACCAAAAACAGCAAAAUUUCCUUAAAAUUAAAUUCAGGGGCAGCAACCCAACAACGGUUUGUCCGAUUCAUCUGAAAAUUCAGGGCAGAUAGAUCUUGACCUGAUGAACAAUUUUACCCAUGUCAGAUUUGCUCUAAAUGCUUUGGUUUUUGAGUUAUAAGCCAAAAAACUGCAUUUUACCCCUAUGUUCUAUUUUUAGCCAUGGCGGCCAUCUUGGUUGGUUGCCGGGUCACCGGACACAUUUUUUAAACUAGAUACCCCAAUGAUGAUUGUGGCCAAGUUUGGUUAAAUUUGGCCCAGUAGUUUCAGAGGAGAAGAUUUUUGUAAAAGUUAACGCGACGGACGACGACGACGACGACGCCGGAGCCAAGGUGAGAAAAGCUCACUGGCCCUUUGGCCAGGUAGCUAAAAAUAAGAUCUUGGUAUAUUGUCAAUGAGACAACUCUCCACAAGAGACCAAAAUUACCGAAAUUAACAAAUAUUAAUAUAACAAUUGGCCGUAACAAUUGCAUCUUCGCUCAUUCCCAUAUUUUUUGACAUUCCUAGUUCUUGGAAAUUUCUGUAUAUCAACAUAGUUCGUGGUUCAACCAUUUCCAAAUUUCUUGAAGCUUGUCCAAUUUUAUGAUAUACUUAAUUUACUAGUAUGUAGCUGUUUCCAUUAGAACUAUUAAUAAUAUAUGCAUAAAAAGAAAUGUCAUAAGAUGUUGGAACGGUUCGUAAUUAAUUCAUCGCCAUGAUUUCAUCAUAUGCUAUCAGAUAUACGUUUUUAAAUAGUGUCAAUAUCAAUAAAACACUUUCCAGACGAUUAUCUUUUCAUUUUAAUACCUAAUUACGAUUAUCUUUUUCCGAGUAACGAUUAUCAUCCCGAAUUUUCAACGGCAAUUUCAAAGCGCUUAGACAAUUUAGUGCACCGCUACAUUCAAAUAUGAUGUAAUGUAAGAAAAACCUUGCAACUGAGUAACUAUUGAAAAAAACAUGCUACAUUUGAGAAAAUAAUUGAAAAUUUUACCUACUGCCUCGCCAAUUGGGAUAGUCGUAAUUCAGUUACGAUUAUCCUUUAAUACCAGUGAAUAUGGCAUCCAUUGGUCUUCCUGUACAGUGGUAAACAAAUUUUAGAGGGACGCAGGUUUGACUGUACGGGAUGUAUAAAUACGCAUGUGCGGGAUGUAUAAAUACGCAUCCACACCAUGUUGGGAUGGAAACGCUUAAUUCUCCCACGUAAGAUUUCAUAUUUUGAAUCGAGUGCAUUAUUUUCACGUGUGUGUCCUUUCCAACUUUUUCAGUUAGAUGGAAAGGGAAAAUAUUUAUCUGUUCGAAUUCUCUCAUUGUAUAGCGUAAGCAAUAUUUUAUUGUGAAAAUAUUAAUAUAUUAAUAAUAAUUUUAUGAGCAAAAUACGCUCAUCUUGUUCAAGCAAACAUUAAUACAAACAUAAAUUAUACAGAUAGUGAAGAAUUUCAAAUAAAAACAAAUAAACAAAAAUAAAACAAAAAAUAUUUUAUUGUGAAAAUAUUGAUAUAUAAUAAUAAUAAUUUUAUUUGCAAAAUAAGCAGACACAAAAAUACAAACAUAUCUACUACAGAUAGUAAAGAAUUUUAAAUAUAAGCAUAAAAAACAUAGUUAUAAAUGUAAACAUUACAAUAUGACAAUUUUAUUAGUAUUAAUUCUUUCAUAUCAAAGAGCAUCUACUAUGUUUUUUUUAAUUUUAUGGUUAACUUACUAGCAUGUCUGAAAAAUAAAAUAGAUUUUUAUUAUUGAAGGCCUUUGCCCAUUGUUAACACUUUUAUAGUUCAUGUAUCAAAUGAUUCUAAUCUUUUUCGUCAAAUUCGGUAAAAUAGUAAAGUUUAUGCGUACAUUUAUGAUAUGACCUUGACCUUGCAUUAAAUAAUUCAUAGUAAUUGCUUUUUGUCAAGAGAAAGCUAUUUUGAUGCGCUAGUUGGAAUUCUUUGUACUAUGUCAACAGGAGAAUUAUGAAUAAUGAAAAGUUUGAUGAUAAAUUGGAUAAUUUUAUAUUUUCAAAGAGAAUCCGGAAUUUAAAUCAAGCAUGCAAAAAGUAUAUUGAAAUUCAUUGCAUUUUCAUCAUUGAAAUUUAUUGAAUAAUUUGUCAUAGUUGUUAUAAUUGUAAUUAAUAAUAUAUGAAUUUUAUUUCUGGCGAAGAAACAAUACAUGACCUUCACCAGCAUAAUUAAAAUAUUAAUAGUUUAUUCUGGAUUGAGGACAAUAUCAUUCUUAGAAUGGUAAUGUACUUUCCAUUUUUAAAGCCGAUCGUCUUAUUUUAGUCAAUAUGGUGCAUUUAUCUUAAACUUGAGAAAGAAAUGGGGAAUGUGUCAAAGAGACAACAACCAGACCAUAGAAAAAACAACAGUAGGAGGUCACCAACAGGUCUUCAAUGAGGCGGAAAUUCCCGCACCCGCAGGCGUCCUUCAGCUGGCACCUUAAAAAGUAUAUAAAAAAUUAUACUAGUUCAGUGAUAAUGAACGCCAUACCGUAAACUCCAAAUUGUACACAAGAAACUAAAAUUAAAAAUAAUACAAGACUAAAAAAUGCCAGAGGCUUCUGAUUUGGGACUGAUUUGUUUCACAUCUGUAUCAUUACUUUAACAGGUUGCAGUUGACUGCCCCAUUGGCAUAUCAUGUAUGUACUAAUGUUAAAUUGUGAGUUAAUCGAGAAAAACAAGUGGUUAUGUAUGCCACGAAGAAAAAAAAGUUCAUAAUCCUGAAGUCAAAACAUUUUUUUCUACUUUCUGUUUGCUGUUUUUACUAGUAAUCAUGAUAUCCUUACAUAUAUGUAAUAUUUGCCACUGGACAUUAACUUAACAAACAAUAUCCAACAAACAAAAACAGCAAAAAAUAAAUCAAACUUAACCAUUAAAAAUUGAAGAUGAAUCAGGUACCAUAAUAUAUUUAUUCUUGCUCAUUAUAUUUUUCAUUUAUACGCUCGAUCAUAAGUGUUUGUUAUUUCUCCAGCAUUACUUGCAUGCUUUUACUUCGUGUUAACAAUGGUCCCAUAAUGCUUAUUCAUGCUGUACAUGUCGUGCUCUGUGCAAAACCACGUGAUGUCUAUGCGGAGACAAGUCUUUUCAGUUUUUCUCAGGUGUAAGAACUUUCAAAAUGCAAUAAAUCAUAUUUCCCAAUCAAAUGUGUGUAAACCAUUGUUAGAAAUUCAUGAUUAGAUUUCAAAUGACGACAUCAUCUAUUCUAUUACGUUAAAUUGGAGCUGUUUUAUAAGAGGUUCAGAAGGGGAUUUACAGAAUAGAAAAUAAUAGACACAAAAACCAGAAUGAAGAGUAAAAAAAAAUGCUAAAAAAAGAAAGAGCAGAGAAUUAUGUGCCGAAAAAGAUAUAGAAUAGAUGAUAAAUUAUGAACAAAAAAAAAAAAGAACAGAGAGACUUGUCCUUGAAAAUUUAAUGCAGAAAUGAAGGACCCCAAUCUAGCAGAAUCUUUACAGAAAAAGUAUAAUACUGAGAGUAAUUUAUGGCGUCAUUUACACCUGUUGGGAAUAAUUUAAGGCAUGAACGUAGCUAAUAGCUUGAAUAUUGUAUACACUAUACUGCUGUUUAUGAUGAUGCUUCCUCUGUCCUCUUCUCCCUAUGAUUGAUUAUUGUUUCACUCUCUCGUCUUCUCAUGUUUUAUGCAGAAAACUAAUAGUUAAAGAAAUACUCAUAAAGGGAAGGCAGACAAAAAUUGACCUCUUGUUCAUGUGCAAAUGUGAAUUGGUAGUUUAACAACCUAUAGCACAAGCGUUAAAUUACAAAAUUUAACACCAUGACUUUCAUAACUAUAUUAAUUAAGUUCAUUUUUAGGUGGAGUUCGUAUUGCUAAAUAUAUACCAAAGUCACAACGAAGCAAACGACGAAAAUACAAACAAAUGUCUACAAAAAACAUCAAACAAAUUGAAUACACAUGGGGUGAUACCAAAGAGGAAUCAUAUCCUGUUCAACGCGAGACACGAGUCAUGCUGCUAAUUGUAAGUACGCAUUAGUUUUAGGUAGCACUCCACAGUUAGAAAAUAAAAUUAAAAAUGAGCCACACAAUGUUUUAUCUCCUAUUCCAGGAUUUCUAAUACAUUACCCUAACUGUUUGUGUUGUACAUGUGCAUGUAUAUGUAAUCAGUACCUUCCAUAGAUUUGAUUUUCAAAAGUUAAAAGGGUGAAAAAUAAUUCCCUUUAUAAGUGCAUCUAUGGGAAUAUUCUGCAUUUAUUUAUCAUAAAAUAUUGCAAAAAAGGGGGGUAAACAUGUCACAUAUCCACCCAAAAUUUGGAUCAAACUAGAAUUUCAAUGCCUUUGAGUGAUACCUUUUAAGAAACUGUUUUUAUAAAUCUUCCUUAUGAUCAAAUAAAAAAAGGGUGUCUUUCGCCUCAUUUUUUCGUAAAAUCAAAUCUCAAAGUUCGUGCGACAAAAAGUUGGAAAAAACAUUACAAUAAUUGCCGGACCAAUGUAUGGUAUGAACAUACAAAUACGGACUGUCAUACAGAAAACAGCCUAUAUUUUACAUACAUUAUAUGAUCUAUAUAUUCAUAUAAACCCAAUACGAAGGCUAUUUUAAUACUCAGCUAUCCAGAAAUGAAUUUUAUUGCACACUAGCUCUUACAUUUGAAAAAUCCACAGGGGUCAAAAUGCGAAACUACACACCUAACUGGAGUGCUACCUUAGUCCUCGCAAUUGAAGAAAAACGAGACCGGAAAUGUAUCGAUGAUAAUUAGAACCUGUUUGAGGUCAUCUUUAUGAUACAGGUUUUUUAAUAAAAGUUAACAAACUCAUGAUGACUUCAGAUCAAUCGUAGUUGGUUCUAAAAUUCCACAUGGAACUAGGUUAAACGCUAAGCAUCGAUAUUAUCAUACGGAGUCUAUUUUUCAAUGAAAGUUAGUGCAAGAGAGAAAUGAACGAUACAAAAGGACAUUCAAACUUAUAAGUCGAAGAUGAGCUGUCAACGAUAUGGCAAAUCAAAAAAGAAAAACUUAAAUAACAAACAACAGUAUACAAAAAAAAAUUAACAUAGAAAACUGAAUAUCCAGCAACAAGAACCCUAUCAAAACAAGGAGAAGAUAUCAUGUGCUUACAUAUGCCUUUGGAAAAUUGAAGUUCGUAUUGCUUUAAAAUUAUGCGUACGAUACUACAGGGAGAAUAAUAACUCAUACGCCAAAGAACUUGUCCCCUUGGUAUCUUCCGUCUCAUUUUCACAAUCGGCAAACCUCGGGUUACACCGCUUCUCUUCGGAAUAGGCCGAGUCGUGACGAAUGUCAUUUUCAAACUGAAUGAAAGUGAAGCUGUUGUUGGAUAUACUGAAUGCCCCAAUAUUUUAAAGUACAAGUACUUGUAAUCCUGUAGUGACACGUUUUGUUUUAAAUUAUUUUAACCAGGUUAAAUAUGUACAUGUACCAAAGUCUAACCGAUUUUCCAAACUUGCUUCAUGUAUGACAUUGAUAUAAGUUAAACUAUAAUAUGACUAUAUUCACAAGUAUUUGUAAUAGUAAAAGAAAAAAAUAAUUCAAUGUCAGGAAAAACAUUUUCUCAAUCUUUCAAAGACCUGCUAUAUUUAUUAAUCUUACCUUCUAUACAUUUCUAGGAAUGUGAUUGGUUAACAGCGCCCUCGUGGAGACCGUGUAUAUUUGAUAUUAGGUUAGUAGGGAGGAGGGCUUAGCUUAUACACGGUUAGUAGAGGUGUUACGUCCCUUUAUAUUCCUUAUAAGGUAGUAGGUAGGCGGGGCUUAUUUCAUACACGGUAAGUAGCACGCGGCUUCAUAUCUGUACACCUAUCGCAAUCAAAACUAAUGCCCGCCCCUCCGCUUUACACAAGUAGACCCGAUUAGCAUUUCUCUCCAUUCUUUGGAUUGAAAUUCAUGUUUACCAUAUCGAUGACAAUAAAUUUGAGAACGGAAAUGGGGAAUAUAUCUAAGACACAACCUGACCAAACAGCAGACGACAGCAGAAGGCAACCAAUGGGUCUUCAACGCAGCGAGAAAAUCCCGCACCCGGAUGUGGCCCUCAGCCGGCCCCUAAAUAAAAUUGUGUACCAGUUUAUUGAAAAUGGACGUCACACUAAACUCCAAAACAAAUAAAUGAACGAAAAUUAAAAAAACAUACAAGACUAACAAAGACCAGGUGCUCUUGACUUUGGACAGGCGCAAAAAUGCGGUUAAAAAAGUUUAUUUACAUUUUUACAGUGGAUUGUCUACUUUUUUUGUACACUUCCUGCUUUGUUUUCCAAUAUAAAUUAAACUUGUAUGACAUAUAACAGUAAAAACAUCACAUACAUAUGUUGUUUUCAAAAUGAAAUCAACAGAUUUUUGAAUAGGUUAUAACAAAAUGAAAUCUGUGUCACCAAGGCAUUUCCACUUCGUGUACAAUUAAUUACUUUCAUGUUUUUCAGUUAUUCAUAUUUAACAUUGUAUAAUAUAUACAUAUUUUCUGCAUCUACGAUAGAUAAUUUAGGGAGCUACCAUUUGAUUUUUAUGGGGGGGGGGGGGGCUAGGAUGAAAUUGAGAAAAAAAUAGGCAGUACAGGAGUUUUGAGUGAAAAAAAAGGCAGGAUGAGACAAUUGCCAAAAAAAAAGUCAGGACGACAAUUUAGUAAAAAAACAGUCAGGAUAAACUAAAAAAAAAAAAAAGAAAGGACCAAACAGAGUGAAAAAUAAAAAGGCAGGACAGAGAUUACAGCUAAAAAAAAAAUGCAGGACAAAAUUUUUCAUCCUAGCCCCCCCCCCAUAAAAAUCAAAUAGUAGCUCCCUUAG